UUUUUUUUUUUUUUUUUUUUUUUUUACGGUUGCAAGUGAAAGUUGUAAGAGAAUAAUGCUUGGAUGUUUUAUUCAUAACUGUAAGGAAUAUAAGGUUAUGGUACAAACCUGCGCAAUUGAAUAAUUGUGUAAACCAGAUGACCUUGUGGAGAAGAUCUUGAUUCAAUUGCACUUUGGUAGCAUGGCCGUAGUUACAGGGCUAUUCUUUCCUGGUCAAGUAGCAAUUGUUUAAAUUGAAUACUCAAUAAUUUUUACGAGGGAUUUGCUAACAUAGUCGUCCCUUUUCGCCCUACUAUUUAUCAAGAGAUAAUAUAGAACAAUCUUACUUAAUUUUAAUGAAAUUUUUUCAAAGAAGGAAGAUGAUAGAAUCUAUCUUAAUCCGUGUCCGCAUCUAUUUGCUUAGCAAAGGGGAAAUAAAUAAAGCAUAUGAGUUUGAUCAUUAAUGAUGCUGGGCAUUCCAAGUACACACUAACAUGCAGAUUUUAAGCCCAAAGAGGUCGCGAUACACGGACUUGUCUGACAGAGUUCUUCGUAUCUCUCUGGUUAUUUUCAACUCCAUAUCUUCUCACCAGGAAUAUCGCUUUACAUUUUUAAUAAACAUGAACUACUAAUACGUUCUAUCAAUUGCGUUGCUUCUGUUGCAAAGGGUUUGGGGUGGCAGAGAGCAAUCAUAAUGGCGGGGAUUUUCUGGAUCUUGAGACAUAAUUGAUAGAUGGUCCAACAAAAAAUACAUGCGUAUAUAUAUAUAGAAUUAAUCUUCUACACACUGACAGUGUAUACACUCUCACCGUUAGAUAUAUGAUACAUAAUUCGAAAUAAUCCCAAAACCAAAAUUCUCUUUUGAAGAUCAAAUGCCUUAAAUUCAUGAUUCACCUAUCCUGUUGGAAGGGGGUAUGAACCGUGUAUCAAUGCAUUCGGAGGCAAAGAAUUCUAUGCACCAACUGUAACUUUCGAAGGUAAAACUUACAAAGUGACGUGUACACUACUGGUAAGUUAACUCAGAAAGUCCUUGAAUACUUUUUGAUUUCAUACAUUAUUGAUGGUAUGGAAACAAGAUCUUUGUUUAGUGCAGAUCCACCAGGAAUCUCUUUUAUGCAAUCCAAAAGUCUAGUGUAGUAGAGAAGCAGCUGAGUCAAAGCAGCUCUCAAUAUCUCCAUGCCGCAGAGGAAGUUGCUGAAUGAUUUGAUGACAUCGGUAUGCAUCAAUUCUAUCGCAGCUUUCCAUCUACUUGCAAAGUCCUUCACAAGAGGCUCGAUUUCAGCUACAGAUAUAGGCUUCUCUGACACAGCUUUUGAGUCCUCAGCUGACAGUAAAUUUCACAUAAGCAUAUUAGGAACCUUGAACAACUUAUAGUUGAUCUAUAAGACAUAAUAGUCAUACUUACAGGCUCUGGUCUUCACAAACUUGAUGAGGUCACUGAAAUGCUCCAAGAGUAACUCUUCCUGCAAACAAAAAUGACAGGGUGUCCUAUUACCAAAGAGAACAAGCUGUAGCUGAGAUUAACUCAAAAACUUCAGUUCAACUUCCAACAAUUUCUGAGAGGCAGAUUCCUUCAAAAGCAAUAAGGAGUUUUAACUGUCUAGUUGAAAUGCAAAAUACGCAAAACUAUUUCAUCUUCCUUUGGAAUUCUAAUAAAUCAAGGGAUGGGAAGAAACGCUAUUUUAUAAACUACUAUCCGUUGUCUUAAUUACCAGAAAGAACAAGCUAUAAUCUAAAUUAACUCAAAAGCUUCAGUUUAACUUCCGAUGGCCCAAAAAUUUCUGAAAGAGAUAUUCCUGCCAGGAAUCCAAUCACCUAGUUGAAAAGCAAAAUAUGUAAACUUUUAUAUCUUUAUUAGAUCGUUCCACUACAUCAAGGGAUAGGGAACAAUUUAGUUUGAUGUUAAACAAGAUCAAUAUAUAAAAUAACACAAUAUCUAUGAAUAACUAUGCAACCAUCUUAAAAGCUGGAAUUGCAGAACAAGAGCAAAGAUUACAUUUAGCACCACAACUUAAAAGACUAUAAAAGUAACAUUCCACCAGAUUUUUACCUUGCUAUAUUUUUAAAAGACAGAUCUCUAAAGAAAAACUUAUCAAGUAUAGUGCUUCCAAAAUGCUUCCAUUUAGAUCCAAGAGCAGAGAGAAAAGAAAGGACCGUAUCCUGAAAGUCAAAAACGCAUGCAUUGAAUCCAUUAGUCAUAUGCUCACCACAAAAACAGCAGUAUUGUUCUUCAGCAGAUCUUCAAAGUACAAUUGGAUUUUCCCACCCUCUGGCCCAGCUUCCUGAUACAUGUAAAAAUCAUGUUUCAGAGCUCACAAUCUCAUGAUUCAACCCAUUUAAAAAAAGAUUUAGACCAUGACUACUCAUCUAACAGUUUCCACAGUAGACAAAAGUAGCUGAUUGUGAUUAAAAUCAGAGUAAGAUCACAGUUUCAUACACAACCAACUAGACAUUAUUUGGUUAUAAAGUUAUAUAAUGUAACUAUACCUUCAGUACAGAAAUUGUCAUGUCAUAGUUGUUAAUCAGGAAUACAGUCUGCAACUUUGCUUUUGAGAAUGUUUUUGACAGUUUGAUAAGCAAGUCAUCAACAGCCAUUCUCAGUCUUUCCAGGUUAAGUUCAAGCUGGAAAAUCACAUCAAGCGAGAUUAGCAAUUAACGUGAAUGCCAGUUCCAAUUCAAAUACAGAGAACCUUCCAGCAUAUUAUACCUGCCCAUCUCCAUAUUCCACAUUUAGGUGGAUCAGUGAAGCCGUGAACUCUGCAUAGCGCCUCAUGACAUAAUGAGGGUGAACAUCAUCUUCCCACAAACUUCUGACAUUGGCAUUUCGCAGGCUGUUGAGGUGCAUGUCAAACACCAUCUUGAAACGAGGCCAUAAAGCAAUAUUGACCUGCUCGUAUUCAUUCCAGUAAGCUUCAAUAGUAUGUAUGCCACACAAUGAAUCAAUGAUGACCCAAGGACGUUGUUUUCAAACUUUCGAAUCUAAUUUGCAACAUCACAGAAAAGCCCUUUUUUGGGCAUUAAUCCUCACUGAGCCGUCAGUCACCUUAGAUCCAUAGCUCACCAUCAAUCAAACUGCGGCACUGGUGGGUAAACUCGCAGUUUCAAAACAUCCUUAAAUCUAUAUGGUUUGGCUACUAUAUUUUCCUCAGCACAUUUCAUUACCAAGGUCAGCUUGAUUUCUUUGGAAAUGUGUUAAUACUGGAUAGUUGCAACAAAACUUUCCAUUAGACUAGGCGAGAAAAACGAUAGCACACCCAAUUAUAGCUGUUUUUAACAUAGUAAAUUGUUGCACUAGAAUUUAGUUUUCCAAUCACACAUAAAGCUUUUUUAGAAUCUGAAUCAUAGUUAUAAUCAGAGAUCUGGGUUAUACUAACUGCAGUGAAAUAAGGAGAGAAUUAUCCAACACCGCUGAUACAAUUUCUUUCUCUUUUUAAGUGGACAAUACGAUUCUCAACCGUGCUGUGAAAAGAGAACAUACAACUGACUAUCUUAUAACCAUCAGUAAUUUGCUUUUUCAUUUCAGACUAAAUUUCUAUUGCUGGUGAUUCAUGCAAUAGGCUUACUUUUGCAGUAUCCUAAGUCAUAUUGCUUAGUGGAAAGGUUCUUUUACGACAGUCCCAUCUAGAAAAAAAAAUAAAACCAUUCUGAGUUCAUUCCUAGGAAAAAAAAUUUAUAUAACAGAAACUAUCUUGGGAUUUACACAUAACACCAACUUCUUACAAUAGAAGAAGAAAAGAAAGCUUCAUGACAUUUAGCAAUGACAAAAGUUGAUAAAGAUGAUACAUGAAACUAUCUUGGGAUUUACCUUAUCCAAGUAAGAAUCGAGACAUGGUAUUCGGCGGCGUGACAUUAUGAGCUGACGAAAAGAUAAAAGAAGCUUACUGUAAGAAUCACAACAACUUUGUCAAACUAAUCAAACUCAUUCUACUCUUAGUAAACUUGAAGUUUUUCUGAAUGCAAAACACAUUUAAACAAUAUCAGCAAAAUAUAGUCAAAAUGCAAUUCAACUAUGAAGCUUCAGUGCAAUUACAAAUCCUUUUUUCCCCUUGUUCAAAAACUUCGUGUUAUCAGGUAUUAAUGAGAUUUGUACAACCCGUUUCAUUUGCAAUUACAGGCACACAAAUCACAACUGAAAAGUCGAAAGGAGUAAACAUUUACUCUUAAUAAUAAAAAAAAAGCUAAUAUAAGACGAAGGAAAACUGCUCAAAAAACUCCUAUCCAUAUUAGAGGAGGAAGCAGUACAUAAUCUGGUGCAAAAAUAAAAUUCAGAGUCAACUAAUAAGGAAUAAAAAUUCCAUCCAAAAUUUCAGUAAUUAUAUUUACAGAGCUCAAACAAAAAGGAUUCUAACCAUUAGCUUGAUAUUGUAAAAAUAUUCUCAAAUGAUAGUGGUUCUCCAAUACUUGUGGAAAUAUAUAAAUCAUUUCCAGAAGGCCUUCUAGUUUUGAAAGUUGAUGGUGCUCUUUUAUAGGAGAUCUACAAUUUUCCUCACUUACCAAAGCCUGAAUUUCUCUAAAGAGUCCCAUACUCGAUGGUUGUAACUGCAAAUGGCUGCAAAUAUACAAACCAAAAACUAUGAAAAAGCUAAAGUACUAGACAUGAUGAACCUUGAGCACUUCUAGACAUUUGAGCCUUUAACAUUUUGAGAAUUAUUGAGAUAAUUUGCCAGGCUCCUUGUUUUAACUUGACCCAUGGUUGCUAACAUUAAUUGUAGCAUAUGCCAAACUUAACCAUAGAAGUAAAAUUCUUACAUGUCAUACAGAAAACGAUGCUAAAAACUUAUAUAGUGUAAUUCUCUAAACUAAAAAUUUUAAUUAUUAUAAGCCAUAAUCUAAUGUCCUUUUCAAACCUGAAGUGCAAAAUAGGUAAAGAGUGCCCCGUACAAGAUGUCACUAUGUGUUAUUGACAUAGCUGAGUAGAGUAGGCUGCAAUCUUAAAGUUUUCAAACUGUGUUUCUCCACUGCAUUGAAACAUAGUUUGCAAUAGGAGCUGUGGGAAAAACAAAUUUCAAGUACGUUGAUUUUGUCAUUCUAUGACCUUAAUUGCAGAUCCAACUACUUUCACAAAGUUGAUUUAACAUGUACUCCCAUGAUUCUGCUUGUUUUUCUCGCUUUAGGUUUGAGCAUGAUUUUCAGAAAUUCAAUUUUAUGGGUUUGCACACCAAAGUUACUCUUGUAAUUGACGUGAGAGAGGAUAGAAAGCCAAAAAGUUCAUCAUUUAAGUGUUUAGUAAUGGUGGAAUUGGAAUGUCUAAUAGCAGCAACCAAGUUAUUCUGUCAAAAAUUAAAGAAUGAUAUAACAUGUAGCUUAAGAAAAUGUCAUGAUACGAAAUGAACUUGUGUUGAUCUUGAUAUUCUACAAUUUUGUUUUUUUUUCCUGCCCCGCCAACUGACAAGGUAUUUAAACAUAAAGUACCUUGAACUUCGAACAAUUUGAUUUCGUGAGCAGAACUAUCAACAUGUAUCCCUUCACUAUCAACAUGUAUCCCUUCACAUAAGGUCACAUAUUUCUUCAUAUUUGAUAAUUUUCCAUGUUAAAGCAUUAUUAUUGCCAUAGUUGACCCUAGUAAUUUGGCACUUGACAAACAAUUUUUCAGACGGGCAUUGCCUAAUUGAAGCAUUUAUUGUGAGAAAAUUUCAACUAGAUACAAGUUUGUAAAAAUAACUUUUGCAUUACAGGUGAUCAAUAAAGGAUAAAUAGUAAAUCAAGAGGAAGAAGAAAAAAAGAAACAAGAUAAAGCUAAACCUCAAAAACACAAAAAUGUUUUUCUAUACCUGUUGGAUACUUAUUGCAAAGGGAAUAAUAAAGUAUAACUUGGAAAUCAGGAGAAUCGUGUACGGAUAAAUGUUAACUGUAGGGUCGAACCAAUAUUUCUAACAAACUGUAGUGUUUCUAAAGGAAAACAAACUUUUGGGAAAAACUUGCUUUUGACAGAAAAAGAUAUAUGCCAAAUUAGUUGAUUUAAAAAUAAGAAAAUACGUUUACCUACUAAUAUGAAACACAAAAACAAAAAAAAAAACUACUUUGUCUCAAUUGAUAUUGCAGUGAGGCAGGGAAAAAUCAAGCAAUAAAUGGCUGCUUGGAACAAAAUUGGUUCCAUGUUAACAUUAUCAAGGAAACAAAAGAAGGAAAACAACUUUAAAUAAAAAGGCAAUUAAUUAUGCUCAGUCAAAUUCAUAGUUUUAGAUCAACUGAGAUAACAAUCGCAAUGUCCCAAGAUUUCCAAGGGUACAUCCUUCAUCAAUGAAGAGUUGUUUAUACUUCCUCUAAUUAGUUUAUCUAACUUUGUCAACCUAUAUAUAUUCUCUAUAGUCAUUCGUCCGAGUUCUACCAUAAAGUGCACAACAUAUCCUUUCUAGUAAACAUCAAAUGGCCGCACUGGAUUUGCUAACAUAUUAUUGAUCAGUCCCCAAACUCUUAAAAAAUCAGAGACAAUCAGAAACAGGAAACUGAAGCAACAUGAAGAUAAACAAUGAAUCAUAACCAUCUAGAAAAAAAUAGAUCAGAUACUUAAUCCAACUACAGGCAACUAAAAUUCCCUCAACAGAAUAUAGAUAAUUUAAGAAAAUUUCCAAUCAAAACAAUAACUCAAAACAAGAAUUUUGCCAUAAUAGACACCUCUUAGAUCCAAAAGAAAAUGAAAAUCAUAUGAAAAAGCUAACCUUGCAAACUGAACUUAGGACAGGCAAAUGCAAUUCUUUUUCAGCAUGACUAAACGAUUACCUAAUCUGGUGCCAUAAGAAAUUGACAAUCAUGACGUAAACACAAAUCCAUAUUCAAAAAGAAAAUUGACAAUCAUGACAUAAGCGCCAUAAGACCAAAAAGACAGCUCAACAUAGAUGUCCUAUGAACAAGAAUGUAUUGUGAUCACUAAAAGUGGAAAAAAGAGUCAGUUACAUAGUGAGUUGGUCAGACAUCAAUUGCAGAUUCUACAAUGCACACCAUUAAAGAUACAAGAAUAACAACACAUAGCAGACAUGAUUAUAGCGCUAGUUUCAAAAGACAAGGUUCGUAGAGCCUUUUCACUUCAAUCUAGACAAACUGGGUAGGUAACAAACUCUGUUUCAUGCAUAUUACCAAGAAAGAGAGGAGAUUAGAGAGUAAUGCACUAAUUCCACAAUGUACUAACAAAGUUAACAUAACAUUGGAGUUAUCGAUGGGAAUGUUAUAGCAUAUAAAACAUCCAAUGAAAUACUUAAAUAAAUGGUAUCCUUGUUUCAAGAUUACACGGUUUUCCAAAAGCUUUCAAAGUUCUCUAUUCUGGAUUCUACACAUUGAAUGACCAUCUAAGUUCUGACAUAUUAUGUCAAUUGGAAGGGAAAGAAGAACAUAAAGUCAGUCACAUCAAAUGAGUUACAAGAAGUUAGAAGUUGUGCAUUACCUGGUGCUGGUGUAUGAUGCGGAUCAUAAGCAUCAAGCCAAUAGCAUCAAAACAAUUUGGCAGGAUCGAGUUGAAGUGUUCAUCAAUUACAGUAAAGGGACCUACAGUUUCAAUAUGACCCAUUUCAUACCAUAAGAAUCCGAAUACUUGCUAAAUUAACACCAAGACUGAAAAAAAAAGCAUGACCAAAUGGCCGGUAUUCAAAAAUGAAUUCAGCAGUUCUAAAUUCACUAACAAACUACCAUGUUUCUAUUGCUAUUCAACAAGUUUUUAAAUCUCCUAAGAGGUGAUCAAUAUAAGAGAAUAAUACAUUCUUAUCAGGGAAUGAGCUACCAAAAGUAAUACAUUCUCAUUAGCAGCAACUGUGAAGUUAGAUGAUCAAAUUGGAAGUCAUCAAAUAACUGCUAUAAUGAAGUCCUAAAAUAUUCAUCCCCAUAGAAUAGUGAAUAAACAAUGUACCUGCAAAUAUAUCAUUAAAAAUGGAUUCUUCUCCAAAGAAAUCAUCACAGAAAAGGUACCUGAAAGAGGGAAAAAACAAAAACAUAAGAAACAUUCAAUUGAAGGAAAGUAUCACCUUAUAUUCCAUAAAGAAUAUCAGAGAGAAAAAUAUGUAGUACUCAGAGGUUGCAGUAUCCAUAAGCAGUUUGUGCAAGCUCCUGAAAAGGACUUCAUAAGGAUACUUUUUGGAGCUAGCUUCAGCUAUAUGAGGUAUCAAUGCAGGUUCAUCUAUUUCCUGUAAAAUAGGUAACCUAUGAAUAAAGUCUUUCCAGUAAAAUAGGUACCUAUGAAUAAAUUCUUUUGGAGGUUAGUCCACAAUAGUUUCCUACAGCAAGAUAGUGAAAUGGAAAUUUUGUUCAUAACUCUAUUUUGAUUAGUGAUUCAUUGUACUAUAAAAAAUUUUAUUAUCUAGAUUUUCCUUCAACCAAUUAGUCUUCUUUAGUUCAUAGAUUUCAACCUUGACGUUUCAAUAGCCUGUUUGAUACCUAUCAGUUCUCAGCUCAGACCAAUUGAGAAAUUAAGUUUCAACGUGCUUUAAAACAAUUUGAUUUCGAAUCAAAAAAUUCAAUUCACAUGAAUUCCAUGCGAAACAUUAACAAAAUCCAUAACAUAUGGUGUUCAGAAGGUGGGCAGGGGGAGAACUUAAAAUGAAGAUGCUACAUUUCUAUUUCUAGAUGACAUAUAGAGAACAACCCCAAAAAUUCACCAAACAAACAAAAUGAUCAACACAACCAUUGAAAAUAGUAAAAACACUUGGAACUAAAGGUAAUAAAAAUAGUCCAGGUGACCACAGUGUCAAACCUUGAGAAUGUUUAUCCUCUCUCCUAAAGCAAAAACAGCGGAUCGAUUCUUCAGGGGUUCCCUUCCUCUGGAGAACAGACUACUGCUUCUUGCCUCAACACCAAUUAGGUCACUCGAUGUUGCUAUAUCCAGCUGUAAUUUCUCCAGUGCUUGAAUAUAAGCCCGGAAAUGUGCACUUAGAACCUUCAAAAGAAGAAAGUAGAAUAUGAAGAAUUAAAUAAGUGGCAUUUGUUUGGAACUUAAGGGUGCAGUCCCAAUAUAUUAUUUGAACAAACAACUACUAAUGAAAGUACAAAUACAUAAAAAAUGAUGGCAAACAAGUAGCAGCAAGAUGAAAGAUGGAAUGCACAUUUAGCUUAGAAUCAAAGAUAAAAGAAUGGUAAGUAUUGAUGAUGAAAUGUAACAUCAGCUUUGGCGAGGCAGUAGGUAUAUAGUACAGCUGCCCAAAAUAUAAAACUCAUCUAUACUGAUUGACACAGAACUAGGCUAACCCCAUAUGCAGUUUCUCUACUUCCAUGUUUUCAUGAUGGUGAAGAAUAUAAGACAGACCACAAUUGAGUAGCUUGAUUCACGUUUUAGCCCAAGCCAGACCUAGCAAAUAAUCAAAAGGUUGAGCCUUAUGAAUUAAAUCUGUUGGUAAAGGAUCAAGGACAUUUCUUCGAUGUGAAAUUCUAAAAGUUUUGACAUUUUAAAACCCCUUCCUUUGCUGCCAGAGGGUGGGGGAGAUUUGGUUGUUGAUAUAGUGUCAAGCAAAUUAGGCGUAUCCAACCUUCCACACAUGAUACAACCUGAUAUAAGGCAAAACUAAAAAUUCAAGCAUGUCACUAUUGUGGAUAAUAUAGCACUAAAUUCAACAAAAGGGCAGAGGGCAACCACUAGAUUAUCUGUCAGCAAGCCCAUCUACCACUUCAAGCAGCCAUGUAGAUUCGUAAGCUCGUUCUAUAGACAUGGUGAACCUAAAUAAUAUAAAACAAUCGAACAUCAAAUGAAUUAAAGCUUAAUGCUAACAAUGACAAGCAACACCUCUGCUUCACUAUAAGAUUUGAUAAAGUGGAUCUUGUCUUCAAUGGUGCAAUUUGCCCCUUCUUGGUCAAACAAUAGGCUUGCGAAAUCCAACAAAUGCAGUACCGAACUUCAAGCCAGAGUGGUACAUAAUUCCCAUUCCAAACUACAAUGACAAUCAUUUUGAUGGUAUUUGCGCCACUGGAUUAACUGAUUAACCACAGGGACAUCACCUUUCCACAUGGAUUACCAGGUUAUGAAAGUACCAUAAAGUCAAAGAGGUAAACAGCGAAUAUUUAACAUAGCUUGUCUCUUUUGUUAUAUGUUACCAAAGUAGUAAUACCAAAUAAGUUUGAGUAACAUAGUAGUAGUACUUGUACAGAUAACUUUUGCAGCACUUUAACAAAAAAGAGAUGGACCCCAUGGUACACUAAUGCUGAGAAGAAAAGGCAAAAAGCAUUGAAGAACUUCAGUUUAGAUCUUCCCCUUUAUCACAAAAACCAAAACCAGCUAUCUCUUACAGUCCACAGGAAACCAUAGGUUUCACACAACAAAUCCCCUAGCUGUCUGCCAUACUGCAAAGACAUUGCAUAACUAGCAUGUAUUACAGCUCAACUAGGUAUCAAGUCACCACUUGCAUUUCCUGCUCAACAGAAGGAGAAACUCUGCAAUAAAAGGAAUUCCAAGUCUGGUGGGAGCUUUUGUCCUUGAGACGUUCUAUCAUGCACCUAGCAUAACAGGUCCAACAUCAGGAAAUGUGUUUGACAUGGUUCUGUACUUUUAGCUAAUGAUUCCAUGUUGCUCUCUGUAUAGCUCAGGCCUACACCAUAGUCUACUUUGCACACAAAAUCCUUUCUUCCAAGGAGUUAUUCUGAUGAGAAACUGUCAAGUAUUACCUACUCUGCCAUAUUGUAACUAUCAGUUUAAUCCAGAGUCACCCACCCCUCCAAUCUUGUAAGUACAGAUUAUAAAAAUUAAAGCUCUCCACCAGAUAAGAUUAAAUGCUUGCACCAAGGUCAUUCAAAAGCUGGGCUCAGAAGCAUGAAAUUUUCCCCAAGAAAUCCAUUGAAUGUCAAAUAGAACACUUGCACUCGCUAUUUCCUCGAAUCUCUAAAUUUCUCCACCUAGAUAAUCUUGUUUCAAAAGCCAAUAACUCUGCAACUAUUAAUCUUUUGAUGGAGGCAUCACCAACAAAUAAACUGUCUAAUCUAUAUAUCUUCUGUAUAAGCUCUUUUGAAGUUAAAUACACCAUCACCAUCAAGAGAAUUAAAAUGCAAAAGUUCAUAGAGAUAGAAACACAAAAUUUAUUCAUGGGCAAAAAAUAGAGUAAAUUCAGAGUAUGCAAAGUUGCAGGACUAUACCUAGUUUAGUGCUGUGCAGUUACGGAAUAUGCAAAAAUGACAUGUAUUUGAAAAAUUAACUCACAAAUAUGCCUCGGUUUGGUUACCAGGUAUCAAAGCCCCAACCCAAACCCUUUCAGUCAGCAACUACCGACAAAAACUGCUCCCACAAUCAGAAGGGGGUACAAUUAAGUGGCUGGUAAUUGUCACUGCUCUAAUAGCAUCUACCUAUUUUGGUUUCUACCUCUUAUAUUUGAAAUCAUAUCCUUGAAUAUUCCUUCUAUCACUAUUCCCCAAAACCCUACUUCUAACCUUUUCCAUCAUAAUUCAUAUCUAUCAGUUUAAUUCCUUUAUGCCAUUUGAUUAUGGAGCUAAAGCAUUCACAGCAUAAUUGAAUAGUUUUUGAUAACUAAAUUCUCAAAUCAUUGAUAACGCUCCUUGACUAGCCUAAAGGCAAUUACCUUGUUCAUUGUGUCAAUAUAUGCUGCACGAAUUUCCACAUAUAUCUCCUUUCCAUGUUCCUUGAGAAAGGAAAUAAUAUACCUGCAUGUUCAACAGAAUAUUUCAGAUCUUGCAUUGGAUCCAUUAUGGUAUUUAAAGAAAAAGAGUAAUAAAAUUAAGUUUGAAGACCAAAUAUAUAAGUCUAAUACUGUAUAAACCAACUUAUAUCUUCCGUUCUUCAAUAUGACAAGGAUCAGACACAUUAGAAUUCUGCGGAGCCCCAAAACUAAGAACUUAUAAAGGCAAGAAAGAUUCUGAAGCAGGUAACAGGUUGUUAAAAAUAAAUACUAAAUUCAAUGGUGUAAAAGAUCCAUAACCACAAGCUCCAAGAAUGAAGAGUAGGAGUCUUCAGUUAUGACAUAUUAACGAAAAGCCUAACUCUAGCUCCCAAGAUCUUUGAGAUACUUAUACAGCCUUUUUGCCCCUAUUUCUUGGCUAAUGGAAAUGUGCCUCACAUGCGAAAGGAGAAGGAAAACAGCUUUUGGCUUUCCUCCUUAUUUAAUAAACAAAGGCACAAGCGGCUAGUUUUGAGCAACCAAGAACAAGUCGUAAAUAACUAAAGCUCAUCAAAAGUGGAAAGGUUGCUGAUUUUCUCUCUCAGAGUAGAUAUGCACAAGGAGGACCAAGUAACUUUCUGACAAUUUUUAUUUUGCAGACAAAAAAGUCAAAAGUAUUGAUUUUACCAUCACUUUUGGCAACAAAUCUUCUUUAUCAAUUUUAUUUAAUAAGAAACUCAAAUUACCCCAGAAUACAUCUUCUGCCAUGAUAGUAGACUUAUAUCACAUAUUAGUCAUUAUAAAUGCAAACUACAAUAAUGCUCUUCAGGAUUCCAUUUAUCAAUAUCAAUUCUAAACCUUUCCCACUUAGAAUCUAAAUUCAAUACUUCAGGAUUAUUUUGCUCGUUAAAAGGGCUUACACAUACAGUAUGCAUACAAUUAUAAUACGACUCCAAUAUCUCCUUUUUCUUUUUAUCCAAAGCCUGUCUUUUAGUCUUAUAUAAACUAUCUGGUACUUAGAAUCUGACAUCUGAGAAAGGCCUUUAAUCGAAAUUGGUCUCAUAUAAUGAGACUCUUUAUAAGCCCUUACGUUCAUAUUUAACUUCUCCACUUCUUGAUUUAAGUCCAUCAAAUUAUUAUAUAUAAACAUAUCCAUGAUAUGAAAAGGAUUGACCAGAUUCUCUAAAAAGAGAGAGCUAUGGAAGAAUGGGUUAUAUUUUGCUAAAAUGGCUGUAGUAAUGAAAUUAUUGCGAACAGUGCAAGUCUCUGAAAGUCUGCACGUGUGUAAGAGAGUGAUUCCGGGUGUGUUUUGAGGUAGAGUGACAGGGAGACAUAAACGAAUUAUAUCCACCUAUGAAGGAAUUAUAUUCAAAAAAUGAACAGAUGCAGACUGUUCAAGUCAUUGAUAAUAUAAAAUUAAGUUAAGCAUUCCAAGAAGAGAGAAUUAAAUGAAUUAAAAAAGGAUAUAAGCAAGACCAUAACAAUGAAUGGUUGUUGAGUAAGUUAACCUGAAGUAAUCAUAAUAAGAAUCUUUAAAUUGACUAUAUGAGAAGCAGUAUAAUAUGACAGAGAUGCAACUUACUUGUAUUUCAAAAGAACACUCUGUUGAAGAAUCUGGAUAUUAGUUUUUGGUUUCCGCAAUGCAUAUAGCUUUUGAACCAUGAAGUCAAAAACCUAUAUGAAGAGGGAAAAUGAUUUAUCAUUACAUGACUAACUUCAUAGAUUCCAAGAAACAUUGAAUAGAACUUAGAUCGAUAAAUUUCACAAACAAAUUAUUAACCUCCUGUGAUGAACAAUUCAGACUGAUAAAACAUGUAUUUCAUUCUUACAGGAUAGACUCAAGAGUCAACAAGCAUCUAAAUAAUUUGCCAUAGCAUGUUGAAACGUGCAUCUUACCUUUGAAACUGCUUUCUGCCGAAGCCUCUCUAAUUCAGGUUGAACAUCUUUUAAUGCUUUCGAAGUUUUAACCAUAGGAUCCACCUUAACAAAGUCCAGCUUUUUGCUCAAAAUCUCUAGAGUCCUCAAAUACUCAUCAUUAACCUGUGUGCAAGUAUAAAGACAAUUUACUGACCAUGAAAUAUGAGAAGUCAAAAGCAAAGAUGCAUAGUGGCCUGGCAAGCCCAUCAACACAUUUUAAGGGAUUGGGAUAGCAGGGACUGGAAUGCCAACAACAUCUCAAACAGACAACUAUGGACAAGCAACCAAAAGGGGGGAGGGGACAAACUCAAGCAAGAUCAAUUCAAAGCCAGUCCAAAGAGUAUAUGAGACAAAUAGCAAGUGGAAGCCAACUCAGCCAGUUUAGUAACUGGGCAAAUUGCAAUACAAUUUACUAAUCAUUGUAUUUGUCGAGGUACUUUUCAGCAAGCAAACACAACAAUUCUUUAUUCUACCUGUCAAUAACCUUUUAAUUCCAAUUCUUCUCAUUACUUGGUAGUUGCCCUAUAAUGCCAGCUCUUAUGCUUUCUGUGUUGCCUAGUCUUUCAAUGAAGGAGAAGAGUAUGGUGUGCGUAAUUUAAUGAAAUCUCUCCAUGCAAUUUCUGCAUAUUGAAUUUCGGUGGAACAAGCAUCAUUGCGGGGUUUGUUAUCCUGCGAAUAUUUUUUCAAAAAGGCAUUUGAUACUCAACUGAUGUCUUUUUUCCUUGAUACUCCAGCAUCUUCCAUAUGAUUUAUAGGCCUCAGAAAGACCUCAAACUGAGUUUAAUGCUAACUCAAAACAACUUAAAAAAAAAUUUAGCCUGUUUUUAACAUGAGCAUGCAAUUAGCAGAAACAGAAAAGGCUAAGUACUAUGAAAUGAAAUAUGAACUGGUCAACGAGAUAAUGUGUUAAUUAAACAUUCAGAUCUUAUGAUGGCAAUAAAAGGCCAAAGGAAUCAAUCAACAGAGACAUUUGGCAUCACUCACAAAAUUCUAAACCCUAAAUGUGAAUGGAAACCAUAUUAUCCACAAGAAAGGUUUAGAGUCAUAUGACAAGUUCCAAAGUGCAAAUUAGAAUGUAGCCAUGCUUAACCUACUUGCGUAUCUGCGGAGGUAUAUAUUCUAGUAUGUCUAUCAGUAUCUCAUCCCAACAUUAUCUGCAACUUGAAGCUAUUUUCAGUUCUCAAUUUCGCGCCUAACUUUCCCCUUUUCUAAUCAAAUGAAAAAGAAAGUUAUUUCUGAAAAGGACAUUUGAUGUGCAUUUUAAUUACAUCUUUUGCUUGUCAAACAGUUUUUGCUACGUCUUUACCAUUGUAAAAGAUCAUUUUUAAGACUGACUAUUCUCGGAUGCUUUACAAAGCUAAGGUAUUUGUAACAGCCCCACUUUAGGAUUUACCCAACUGUUUUCUCUUGUAACCUUUGCAACUCAUUAGAUGUACAAGAGACAGAAAGCUAAUCAAUCAGUAGUAUCAACUUGAAGUUAAGGGACAAUAAGAUAGUCAAUAGACAACAGUCAUAACACUAUGAAAGAGAGACUAAAAAUGUACUUGUGUCAAAUAAGCUGCCAAACUGAAGGAGGUAAAGGAUAAAACUGGAAAUGGGUAAUAAAAAACAGAAUUCAGAAUACCUCUCCAUCAACAAUUAUGUCUAUCAUCCUUGGUGGCACAAUAAUAUCUUCAACAAAUUUUGCCAACUUUGAUUCCGCAACCUGUCAAAGAACAUAAGCAGUUAUAAAAGGCAGAAAAAUGCCACCGAGCCUUUUGUGCUAGAUACUGACUAGAGAGUUUACAAUUACAAGAGUACUCCACCCAAUAGGAACAAAGUAAAAUUCAUACCUUGCGAUUUUUCAGCUUCAACCCCAUAUCCAUGGACUUCUCUUGAAGAAUUUUUAUAUCUGAACUUAUAGAACCUAUCUCAGCCUAUGGCAAAAGUUACGAGAAGUAUAAUAAGAACAUCGGACGACAUCCAGAAUAAAAAACUGAAAGAUAAACAAUAGCAAAGAGAAAGGAUCUGCAGAAACCGAUUAGACACAUGUACAGCCAAAAUGCACUUUCUGACAUUCUAACAGCAAAACAUUCAAAGACCCAAACAAAGUAGAUAGUUGAUGCAGGCAGGAGCACGAGAAAAAGAAAAGUCACUUUAAUCCAUGAUACAGGUUUGGUUUUUAGGAUAAACCAACAGAAAACCUUGAUUAUGGGGCUAAUUCAGCACCCAACCUUAAUAGUUUACCUGAAGAACCAAGAAGAAAUGAUACACUUUCAUUAGAUGUCAAAAUCUGAAUUACACAUGCAAAACCUGAACCCUGUCCUUAUCACUCUAAUUCUCACCAUCUUAAUCUCAUUCUUCCCUGUCCUUAUCUUUCCAAUCUGAUAGGAGUUAACCUUAACCUACUAAUAUUAAGAAAUUUAUCCUGCACGAGUAAUGCUCUGACAUAAAAAUUCAUCCCAGUUCAGUUACUUCUGUACAAACAGAUCAAAGUGGAAAGUAUGAGGAAUUCCACAAGCACAAAUCUUGAUAACAAGAACUGCCAGAAUUCAAACUGUGAUCUUCUUAAUCUUUGGAUUCCACGAAAUAUAAAGUAUUAGACUGGGAAUUGCUUGCUAUUCUGCCUUCUCAACUAACUCAGCCCCUAGUUUAAUUCUCUACAGUAACAUGUGUAGCUCCUCCUAGUUGUCAAGUAAGGCAUGACUCUUGGCAUUUGUACCUAUUUCAGCUCAAUCACUACUAGAUGGUACAAAAGCACAAAGCAUUCAGUUUAACUUGCUGCAGUCAAAGCACAUUGGGUUAAACGCACAAGAGGUAACAAUGGAGGUUAUCAUCUGUAAAUCAACCUAAAAAGAGACAUAAAAAUUAUAAAUGGAACAGCCUUCUCUCUCCAUUGAUGCAAUAUACAGACAUAAACUAGGGCCAUGAUUGCUUGAUGGAAUUAAAAACAGCAGUAAAAUUAGAAAAGUAUAAAUGAGUCCAUGCUUUAGAAGUUUCCAAUUCCAUUGACGACGAAAGUUCAAAAUGAAUGGUAUCUUGAUUUCAUCAAUAUGAAAAAUUGAGCAACAAUGAUGGAAUGCAGUACCUGGAAUCCACUAAGUAGGGUCUCCAUUUGUGAGAGUAUAAUGUCACAAUCACGUAUUUGAUCAUGAAGGGAGACCAAGUUGUCACUUUCCUUAAUGUAAUCCUAAAGGGACACAAGGGAUAGCUAUCAUGUUAGAGAAAAUAAAGUAAAAUCUUUACCAGACAUAUAUAGCAUGACAAUGUCAAUAGCCUGUCAACCAUGAACAGAAACAACACUCUUAAGACAUUUCCCCAUGAGUACAAAGUUCUAAAAUUCACAAGGCGAGCUUUUGGACUGCCUAAAGGAUAAGCAGCUUGACAACAUGAAAGUCUCGCUACAAGCAUGCUCUAGCUUACAAGAAAUUGCAGACAUAUAAUCCAACAAUAGACAAAUUUGGAAGGAGGAGAAGUAUAGUGAGACCAACCCACCUCAAUGGAUUCCAAUUCAACUUGGCGUACAUUGCUCUCAACACCCUUUGUGUACUCUCGAAGCUUUGUUCCCUUAGACAAGAUGUUUGCCACUACCUUUCAAAGAGCACAGCAGAAAACAUAAGGCAAGAGGCGAAAAUGUUGUAUGCAAGAAAAACAACAUACAGACAACAAGGAAAAGUAGACAGCUUUUCAUUACUUGAAAAUGGGAAAUGAAGAAAGUGAAAAAAAAAAAAACAAAACAAAAGAAAAGGACAUACUUGAUCAUGCUUGCAUUCUUGAAGCUCUUGCUCUAGCCCUUCAAGUGAUAUAUCCUCACUAUCAAAAAAAAAAAACCAUUAUAUAUCCCAAAAAAGAAUCAGCAGAAUAGGUGCGGGAGGAGAAGAAUAGAAACCCACAGUGGAACACUAAUCCUACUAACUUGAGAUCUUAAAUAUAUCAAAUCUCAAAGAAAUUGGAUAGUGAAUCGAUGAGGAUGAAGAAGAAGCCCAAGCCUCCCAAGCAAGAAGUCUAACCCCCUUUUUAUUUAUUUUAGAUUAAAAAAAAAGAUAAUUGAUAAUCCAAGACAUCAGACUGAUGAAGAAACAGACCAAUUAGAUCCCAAACCCAAUCAUUCGAAGAAAAUUUGAAUCAAAUUCAUUUUCAUCAAACUAAUAGUAGGAGAUAAAAGCUUUUUUUCAACUCGCAAAACAACAAUAACCAUGAUAUAUCAACUAAAUAUUCAUUCUGAUCAACACAAAAAAAAAUAAGUUUUUUUUCUUUUUACGGUUCGAUAAAUCUAACUACCCACAAACAAAUGCACAAAAAAUGCAAAAAAGGAGAAGUAAAUCGAAUAUGUUUCUGGACGGAAUGGAGGAAGAAAUUUCCAAACCUGGCAUCAUCAUCGUCGCCACCUCCGCCAGUCAAGUCCCCCACAUAUGAUUCCAAAUCCGAAACAACUGGAUGAAUCAUCUUCUGGCCCCCAUUUUCAUGCUCAUCAUCAUCAUUAUUGUUUCCCUUCGCGAAUUGUAAUUUGUUAGAAUCAACCUCGGCGGCCGCGGCGGCUGCAGAAGCAGAAGAAGCCAUCCCCAACUCAAAGAUAAAUAUCAGAUCGCUACAACUGAUUGAUGCAACGGAGGAGUAGUAGGCUACUAGUAGUACACAUUACACAAGUAACAACACGACAACAAAGCUGUGUUUGGAAUGAAUUUAAUACGCCAGAUCCAUGACACCGAUUAAUAGGAGUUUUCUCCAGGGAGGGAGGACGUUGUUAGUUACCAUUUACCGAGCAAGGUACAAGUUUUUCAGGGUCAUGUACACCAUUUCACUGCCACCGAGUUCCGGAAUACUCCUAUUACUGAAAUGAAAAUAGCCUCCAAGCUGGGACUGGCGGUCUGUCUAAGGUUCCAGGUUAUCGUUGCUGGCGCUUUUGGGGCGACCUCUGCUCAGUCGUCUGGGUGAUUCCAAGAUACCCUUUUAAAUUGAAAAAAAAAAAAAAAAAAAAAACCUCCAGCAGUACAGAAUAGCAAGUACCUGACGACGGACUUCUAUUUUGCACCCUUUAACUAGUAAUUGAUUCUUGAGUGGCAUCUUAAACUUCCAAGUUUGAGCACAUUGCAUCCACUCUAAAACUCUCAUAUGUGUCCCAUUUACGUCCGAACGUUACCAAAAAUGGUUUAAACUCAUGUAAUGUAAUCCGUCCCAUUUGAGUCUAAUCUUGACAUAGAAGAAAGAAGUGUGCACACAACUAAAUGAAUUAAGAAAAUAAAAGAAAAUUAUUUUUUUAUGCUUUUAUCAAAUUACCGGAUAAUGCAAAAGGAAGCCAAUGACCCAAAAAAAAGAAAGGAAAAUAUGGGUUUCAACUGGAAUUUAUUGAGGAUGGACAAAUCCAAGUUUAAUCUUACAAGAAAAUUCUUAAGAUAUGCUAAAGACUAAAAAGGCCUCGUUUAGAGUUGCAGUACUUUUAAUUUUUUUUUUAAAAAAAAGAAGCACUUUUAAGUGUUAAAAGUAUUUUUAAGACAUUUGAUGAAAAUCAUUCCAUAAAUUUAAAAGUGAAGCUUUUAGUGUUGAAAGCACUUUUUGACCAAAAAAAAAAAAAAAACUCAAAUUUUAGUGCUUUUAUAGUAAAUUUUGUAAUUUAAAAAAUAAAACAUUAAAUCUAAUCCUUUUAUCCUAUAUUAUAAACUAUACAUUACAUAUUAUUCAAUAUAAUAAGUACUUAUUGAGUUAUGUCUCGAUACGCCACUAAUAGGUAAAAGGGACGAUGAUAUAGCUAAAAUUACAGUUGAAGAACAGAAACUUCCGGUUGGAAAAUUAUAGUAAUAUGCUUUUGGUAUUUAUCAUUUAAUGUGUAUUUAUUCUUAAUGUUUUUUUUUUUGUUAACAAAGUCAAGGAAUGAAUGAGUAAUAUUGCGAUUUCCCAGCGACAGAAUAUGGAGAUCUCCAUACUUCCUUUAGCUUUGCUUACAAUACUAACGCUUGGACUCGAAUAGCUAGGAUAGAUUUGUAAAACUUGUGAGAAUGGAAUACAUUGAAAUUUAAGAUUGGAUUUAAAUCAGGCAGAUCUUAAAAUUUAAGGUGCAAUACAUUGAAAUUUAAGAUCCGAAGUGAGAAUUGAAUAAAAGUUAAAAGAGUAAGACUUGUUCAACGACAAAAUUAAAGAGUUAAAACUCUGGGCUAGCUAGCUGAAUUCGGGUUCUAGUUUGAAAUGAUCGAUGAUCGAACGGUAGCCUCCAACUUGAGAUUGAUUGCCGGCGGCCAUGGAUGAAUGCAAGGAAGGAAUUAAUGAUGGGAAUGAGAGUAGCAGCGGGCCGGGCAAUUUAGAAAUCGGCAUCAACAAUAUUACUCCAAACAGCCCCGUCUCCUUCGCCGCAAGCGCUGUGCACAGCUUUCAUCCUCUGCACUGAGUUGCAUAUCCCGCUGCAUGACCAAUCAAAUGACGCAAUGCAUGUCUUCCCUCCUUCCCUUUUCCACUCACAGUCUGCCCCCCACAAAAAAUUAAAUUAAAUUAAGUCCUACCAAUAAUAUAAAUAAAUAUAGUACUUAUAUAUAGCAUUGCACAUUCAUUAAUUAUUGUUACGUACCAGGAGGGGUUCCACAACACAUGGAGCGAUCGUCCACGUGUUGCACUUCCAAGCCAAUGAACCACGACCCCAGCGACACGUCCUCAUUAGCAUACCGAUGCAAGAUCCCCCUACACCAUACCAUGCAUGCAUAUAUAAUAGGAGGAGUACCGAUCGAGCACACGUACAUAUAUUUGCAGAUGGAAUCAUCCAUCAGCAAAUCAGCAUCUUAGUUAACUUUGUGAUCAUAUAUAUAUAUGUAUGUAUGUAUGUAUAGGCAAGCAUGUGCAUAUAUAUUUGAUAAUUAAACCAAUCAGUAUCUUACGAGUUGAUGGAGAUAUAGGUGGCAAGGUCCUUAGAGAUGGCAUAUAUUUGACCGGUGGCAUGCCUAAAGUACUUGUUGCCUUCUUCCCCAAAUUUCCAGAACUCUGGCUCGUAAUACUUGACUCCCCUGCCAUGCCAUGAUUAAUUUCAAGGGAAAACCAGCAACCCAUUAUAAGUAAGUACUGUUAAGCAAGACUAGUACGUACUGACUCAAGAAUAUAUAUAUAUAUGGUGCAUGGUGCUGCAUAUAGAUGUGUAUGUACAUGUAAUAUUUGAAGUAUUACACAAAAAAAAAAACACUAGCUACUAGGUAGAAACAAAUGUUACUCGUGAAUUCUACUCACUUCUGAGAGAGAACAGGUCCAGACUUCAUGCACCCAAUAUAGGUCCUGGGUUGUGAUUUGUAGCGGGCAAGAGUGUUUACAAGCAUACCUACAACAUAUAUAUAUAUAUAUACAUGACCAGUGCAAAUUAGGCUAAUUAUAUGAUGUGAUUAUUAAUUUGCAGCUGUAUGUAUAAUUGGUACGUAACUAAGAAGCAGCAGAGAGGAGCAGUACGUACCCAAAUUGACAUGGACAUCAUCGUCCACCUUGACAUAGAAGUGGGCAUCCCAAAUUGAGACUGCAGUGGAGAAGUAGAGUCGAGUUUUGGAGGAGAGUUGGUGGUAUCCUUCAACGUGAUCCAGUCUGAGGAUGUCCCCGUACUCCGCAUCCUCAGCAUCAAUGGCUCGAUCCAGAACUCCUCCCGGUGUUGCACUGUGCCCUAUCACAAAUCGGAUCACUAUUCCUUUCUCCUUCUCCAAUUUCUUCAACAUAUUUCCUAUACAUGAUCAUUAUAUAGAGUGGAUUAGUAGCACAUAAACAUGAUCAUCAUUCUUUAUAAAAAUCAGAGGGAGGUAUAGGUAAUGCACUUUUUUUUUUUUUUUUUGGGUAGGUAACAUUUUAUUAAUACCCAAGAAAGAUACAAAAUAUAGGUACCGCACCUGGCGUCUCUUAUAAAUAAAGAUUGUUAGUAUUAAUUAACCUACCUUUGAGCAGCCAAGUCUCUCUGAGGGAUUCACGCCGUCUCUUGCUGCUGAAAGCUGUAUUAAUUCCAAUAACAACAAAGGCCUUCUUCUGCAGCAGGCUACUAGUACUGGAGGUGGAAUUUGAGGAGUUUUUGCGUAGAUCAUGAUCAAGUGAGGAGUAGUACUGCUGCUGCUGGGUUUUCCGACUACUCCUAGUCCGAGCUGCUGACAAUUCCAUCUCCAAUGUUGAUAUCGUUUUGUCUAAUGACCUGUUUAAUUAAUUAGAGAUCAUUAACAAACGAAAAAUAAAAUCAUUACGCAUGCAAGCAAGCAGCAAUAUUUUUUGUUAUAUAAGUAUGAUUAAAGGGAAACAUGCAUUGUUGAUCGUGAUCCUAGCAAUUAAGCUGAGGGGACUGCAGGCUUAUAACUCAAACAGCAGAAGAGUGAUUAAAUAGUCAACAAGGAAAAUCAGGCAUCUUGUACUAUACGCUGUCUUACUGGAUCGCUUGAUGUGUCUUUCUCACUUCUUCCAUAACGUCUCCAGAGCCCAUUUCCGUCAAUUUCUUCUGCAGCACAUGGACAAAUAUAUAUAUAUAGGCAAUCAUUAACUAGUUUUAAUUCAUUUUACGUAUGAAGGAAGAGUUUCAAGAAAAUCAUAGCUCAAGUACUUAAAUUGGUACGAAGUUUAAUUACCCGUCUCUGAUGAUCACAUCCAUUUGUAACCAGCUGCUGGGUGCUGAGCUUUUCCACAUAAUGAUGAGUGGUGGGGAUGCUGGAAAUGGCACGACGUCCUAUACUUUGAGUUUUCGGGGCAGGGCGACUAGUAGCUGUGAUCAGGGCGGUGGUAGUGGACGACUUUGUGCCCCGGCUGCUAAAAACAAGUGAUCCUGCCAGGAAGCUGGCAACACAUAGCAGAAGUAUGGCUUUCCCAGAAAGCACUGAUGAUUUCCCAGCCCGCAUUCUCUUAAUUUAUUAACUUUUUUUGAAAAGGAAGGAGAGGGGGGCGGGGGGGAGGUCAAGUUGCCAGGCUCGUGGCCCUGAGUUCAACAACAAAUGCCACCGCAAUCCAACAACGGUCGGCCUCUUUUCUGUCAGCACUCAGCAGCAGCUUUACCUCAUGUGUUGUGGUGGGCUGUAGCUGCCGAGCGCUUUGUUGCCGAAGUUCUUGAACAUGCAUGGACCAAAACGCAGAUGUCUGGAUGGACGAAGAUGCAGUGGAUGGACUUGGGAAAGCGGAAAAAAUUGAUAAUAAUGAUUAUCAAUAUAUAUAUAUAUAUAAGAAAUGGUCGGAGCUUGAAUAGUUGUAUGGAAGAGAUAUGUAGCUAGAGACGUAGGUAGGUAGCUAGCUAGUGUACCCAUUUGGCUUGGAAGCUAAUCGAUAUAUAUUGAGGGUUAAUUGGUGUAUGUGCUGUUCCAUCAUGCAUGGGAAGCAGCCAGUAGCUGGAGAGGGAGCGGGGGAAAAGGGACUAAUUAUGGGAGGGCAGUUUAAUCAUGUGAUUUUCAUGUUUCAACAAACCCACUCAUAUCCUAGCUUCUGCCAAUACUUCUCCCCAGAUUGCCCGUCUAAUAUGGAGAACACAACUCAAGUGUCCCACCACAUAUAUGUGUGUGUGUGAGAGAGCAUAACCACUCCAAUAUCCCAUCAGAUGCGAAUGCUAGUUUUUUUUUUCUUUUUUUUUUUUGUAUUAAUAUAUGUGAAUGCAAGUUAACACAAUAAUAUUCCUAGGUCGAAUCAAAUUCAGAUGUAUAAAGGAAUAUAUAUAUAUAGCCCAAAUACGGGUUAUAUUAUAAGUUUGAAUACGGAUCCUCUCAUGAUUUUCUGUUAUAUGUUGGAUCAUGUCCUUUGCGUACUGUUGUAGUAUCACCAGUUAAUGUGGACCUCAGCGCAGCGCGCGAGGUUGCCUGGGUUUGGUGAUAUAUGUGUUUUUUGAGCUGUGAACGCGUCUGUUAAUUGGUUUAAGUAGAACCUUGUGGGAACCAAGAGCACAAACUAGCUUACUUGUAAAUCCAAAAGCUGCAGUCAUAGCUAACAAUUGACAUAAGUAUAUCUACAUUGAUGGCAAAGAGUAUUUACAUAUAGGUACGUAGGUAACAAUUUUCAUGUUUUUCUAAAUUAUGUUUUUGUUUUCUUAAUUUAGUCAAAGUAAUAAUUUUCUUGAAAUUGCAAAUACUAAUUUGUAUUUUAUAAAUGAUUUUAAUGUUAUCAUUUCGGCCAUGUUAUAUUGAUAGAUUACUCAAUCAUGUCAACAAAGAGCCACGAUAGCACAGAGGAGCAAAAGCAUAAAGCUUCAUCCCUCAAUCCUCGAAGUCCAACUCCAACCCAUAAUACCUCUGUUGAUGAGACUAGAGAAGGUUCAAAUAAGCGAGAACCAUACAAACUAAGGUCAAAGGUAUAGUCUCAUUUUGCUUUAGAAUAGAUGACUGGUAUCAAGCAAGGGCAAUUACUAUAAAAAAAAAAAAAAUAAUUGCUGCUAAUCCUAAGUGUCAUGCAUGGUACAACUCCCUUACUCAAUCAAUUAUCUAAGUAUAAUCAGAAUCCCAACAACAAACCUAGUGGUCAAGCUACUUUGUAUAUAGGGUUGAUUGAUGAUGGGGGAGAGACCAAAGGGAGUCUAAUUAUUUGGAAAUUUGAUCAGUCUAUUAGCUAGGAAAAGUAUUGCAUACACGUUGAUCAGUGAAAAGAAAGGAUUUCAACAUGUUAUGCGUACUACCUAUCCUUCAUUUGGGAUUCCCUCUAGCUGGACUAUUUCUAGAGAUUGUUAUCAACUCUAUUUAGAUAAGAAGGCAAAGUUAAAAAGUUUUCUUAAAAGUAUAUCUAGCUCACAACUGAUUCUUAGACCUGUAUACAGAGAAAUAAUUAUAUGUGUUUGAUUGCACAUAUUAUUAAUAAUGACUAGAAAUUGGACAAGAAAAUAAUAAACUUUUGUCCAAUUACUAGUCAUAAAGAAACUGAAGUUGGAAAGGCUGUUGAAAAAUGCUUGCUUGAAUGAGAGAUUGAUGAUGUUUUUAGUGUUCCUAUAGACAAUGCUAGCUCUAAUGAUCUUGUUGUUCAAUACAGUUACAGUCUAGGUUAAAAAAUUCAAUGAAUGUGCUAAAAUUGAAAAAAUUAAAGUGUAAGAAACUGUUAAACCUAGAUGUUGCUACUAGGUGGAACUCAACAUAUCUCAUGUUAGACAUGCACUGCCCAAAGAUUUGAGAGAACCUUGAAUGGUUUGAGGAGCAGGAUCCCUAUAUGGUUCAGGAGCUACAAUUAUUACCAACAAAGUCAAAUUGAAAGAAGGCUAGAUUCCUAAUUUUUAUGAUCUAACUAUCAAAUUUCCCACUAUGGAAAUGAACACUUAGGUAAACAAUGAAUAACCUAAAAAAAAUAACAUGUUGCCAAGAAUGUCAGUUGGACCAGAUUUUGAAGAUUCAAAUAGAUAUGAUGCCUUUCAUCAUAUCAAAGUUAUGAAAUAUAUACGAUCUAAUUGUAAAAAUUUUUGGGACCAAAUAUGUGACUUCUACUAAAUUUUUUAAUGAUACCGGUCACAUAAAUGUAAUCUUGAAGAAGAUGAAAAUGUUGAAUUGAAUGUAGUGGCAAAAUCUAUGAAGGAUAAUAUGACAAAUAUUGAGGGAGAAUUGAAAAGAUGAACAUUUUGAUUUUUAUUGCUGCUACGCUUGAUCCUAGUACUUGUUUUUAUGAAAAUGUAUGGGGAUACUAACAGUAAGGUUGUGGCUAGGAAGGCAAAAGAUGUCAUGUUUGAUUUGUUCCAUAAAUUAAUACAAGAGGAUGAACUUUCCUUUGCCAGUUAAUACCUCUUAUUUCUCAUAUUCUUCAAUUCACUUUCUAGUGAGUCUGUGGUCAAUGUUUAGUUACUGUGGGUGCUACAAAAAAAUAAAAAAUAAAAAAUUCAAUGACAGGUACAAAAUGGAGUUUAAGAAAAGGAAAAUUGAACUUUGAGGUAGGGACAACAAAUUUUAGUUGGAUAAGUUCAUAAAUGAGGAUUAUGAAUUGGAUGAUGUUGAUAAAUUUGAUAUUAAUUUUGGCAUGAUGGAAGGCUAAUAGUAUCAAAUUUCCAAUCCUUUUAAAAAAUAGUUUAUGAUGUAUUGGCUGUUCCUGUCUCUACUAUUGCUUCUGAAUUUGCAUUUAAUAUCGAAGGACAUGUUCUUGAUAGUUUCAGAAGUUCUUCUUCAACUCUAAGGACUGUUCAACCUCUUAAUUAUAUGCUCUCAAGGAGAUCCUCAAUCUUAGCACUGAAUUGCCGAUUUCAUAUCCGAUUCUCACUCCUGGAAGCUGCUCUUGCCUACACCCUUAUGUCUACACCUCUAAUUCAUUCUCUCUUUUUUUUUUUUAAAAAAAAAAAAAAGGAAGAAGAAGAACCCACAGACGUGUGAUGCUACAGUAAGAAACUUAGGACAAGAAAUAUCCAUCUGUCAUGUACAGAAACAUGUUCACGUUUGUAGUGGAUCAUAUGUCCUUUAAGCUCUCCGAUAGACAAAUAAAGGGAUAGUUGUAUGUAUGGUACUUGAGGAGCAUGAAAAGGGUAGAGUUAUAUGCAUGAAAAGGGUGUAUAUGGAAAUGAGCUGAAAGAUGUUGUGACCAUGAAUACAAACGUAAACAAGAUGCAAGGAAGAAGAGAGAAUGCGUAGAAUGGAAUCAAGCAAAUUAAUCUGCGCCCCGCACAUGUGCAAAGCCCAAGCCAUGGCGACUGCGUCUCCAUUGAUCGAACUGGCCGGAGACUUCACAAACCCUCUCUACUCUACACCAGUAUUAUAUAUGUGCUUUUUGGUAUUAAAUUAUAAACUGAAUAUAAAUCCUCCGGAACUACUAGUAGUGUAUAUAUUAUAUACAUUAGUGUUGGAUUUCAAAUAAUAUCGGCCGUCCAAAAUCCAAAUGGAGGUUGAGAGAAUCUCGAGGAGUACUUGUAGCUGUUCAAAGGAAGGAUAGCAUUGCUUCGGGAGCAAUCAAAUAUCCCCUAAUCGGACAAUCAUAUUCUGGAUCCCGUACGUAUUUUCAAUCUCGGGAUCGCCUAACAACUAUUUUUUUUUUCCCAAGAAAAUGCUUUUGAAUCAUAACCAAGCCGAAAACAAUGAUGAAUACCAGACGCGAGGUUAAGGCAAGUGCAUUCUACUAACUUGAUGGAUGAAGUGAAGAGAGCGUGUGGCAAUGGAAAAGGGAUCGUAUGCGCGUCCAAUGAAGUAGUAGCUAGCAUGAGGAGGAGGAGGAGGAGAGAUGCAUGGAUGAGGAAAUGCAUGAGUUGUCGCUGGGGCACAUUGCAUGGCGUUUCCCUUUAGUCGCCGUCUCGGUCAUUCCUAUGACUUGGCUUGUACGUUAGCUUUUAGCAAUCCCGGCGGCGGCGUCACCGGCCGUCAACUUUCUCACAAUAUCACACACACACGCCCCUCGUAGCUAGCUAGGUAAUUGAGACUUAAUUUGAGAGGGUUGACAAAUUGAAAAAACCACAGCAGGCAAUUGCACAUAUAUAAAUGUAUGUGGAGCGUUAAUUUUGACAGCACGCAUACGCAUACGCAUGCGCAUGUACAUGUAGAGAGAGAGAGAGAGGCUCGCUGGCUUCAUAGAUUUUGAGGCCUUCAUUGCCACCUUCAAUCUGCAUGCUGCUCUAGCUUCUUAAUUUGGUGUGUAUAUAUAUAUACUCAUGGCUUCAUCAAAUGGCGGCGUACCACCUGGGUUCCGGUUUCACCCCACGGAUGAAGAGCUUCUGCACUACUACCUCAGGAAGAAGCUCUCCUUCCAGAAGUUCGACAUGGAAGUCGUUAGAGAGGUGGAUUUGAAUAAGAUUGAGCCCUGGGAGUUGCAAGGUACUAAUUUGUACCUACCUACCUAUUUCAUUUUACUGUACUUCCCACCAAACUGGACCAUACUCCCUCUAUUUCAUGCAUUUGCCAAUAACCCAUUUCAUUCCCCUCUUUUCUCCGUUAAUCUACCAGACCAAACGAAAGAGAAACGGAUAAAAUAAGUAACCUUUUUAUAAGCAUCUCCUGAAUUUAGCCUUGCGUGACAUGCUACUAAAAUUCUUCGUCUUUUUUUUUUUCAAUUACAAAAUAUCAGGUCAUUUCAAAGUACAAAUGAUUUCGUAUCCAACUAGACAAGUGCUAAGAUCACCAACAUAUCGAUCUAAGCCAGUAAACUAACAUAGAUAAAAACUGUACUCCAUACAGUACCCCAACAGAUUCCACAUACUAGCAGUAUAUAUAUAAAUAUGCACUCGUAGUAGUAUUUGAAAUCCAGAAAUGGAUAUUAUUCACCCUUAUUUUUGUUCCCCUCCAUUCACAGAAAGAUGCAAGAUUGGGUCCACCCCCCAAAAUGAGUGGUACUUUUUCAGCCACAAGGACCGGAAGUACCCGACAGGUUCAAGGACAAAUAGAGCCACCAAUGCCGGUUUCUGGAAGGCCACAGGGAGGGACAAAUGCAUAAGGAACAGCUUCCAGAAGAUUGGAAUGAGAAAAACCCUAGUUUUCUACCGAGGCAGAGCCCCUCAUGGCCAAAAGACCGACUGGAUCAUGCAUGAGUACCGACUGGAAGACGGUGAUGAUCCCGAAGCCAAUCCCAAUGUAAGUCUCCCAACGCAAGAUGUAGCUAGUGUGUGUGUGUGUGUGCAUAUAUAUAUAUAUAUGCAAAAUUAUCAAUUAUUCACUUUCUCUUGGUCAAUAGAUUGUAGCAAAAUUAGUUAUCAGGCUAGACUAAUAUUAUAUAUAUAUAUAUAUGCAAAAUUAUCAAUUAUUCACUUUCUCUUGGUCAAUAGAUUGUAGCAAAAUUAGUUAUCAGGCUAGCUAAUUAAUUAGUCAACAACACAGCACAUACUCAGAGGUAAGUAACGACGAAUCCCAUGAAUGGAUUUUGAAGUCACACACUUAAUUUAAUCAAAGGCCCCCUAGCUAGGUACCUGCUGUCACAUUGACCUCCCUCACACAUAUUCGUCCCGUGGAGGCCUGGUUUCUUGAAUGGAUCGAUGCAUUAAAUCAUGUCCAAGUAACAAUUCCAGCAUGAAUGCAUGUGGUCUUAGUUAGUUAUAUACGAAAGCAUGUAAACACUUGUUAUCUGUACUGUAUGUACUGCAGGAGGAUGGAUGGGUUGUUUGUCGGGUUUUCAAGAAGAAGAAUUUAUUCAAAGUUGGAAAUGAAGGAGGAGGGACCGGUGGCGGCAGUGGCGCGGCUGCCUCAGACCAUCUCAAUGCUACUGCUUCCACCAAUAUUAAUCAACCUCGUGGCUUCAUGCAAAGGGAGAAUCAGUACUUGUUUCACCAGCAACACCACCCCCAUGUCCUAGCUGGCUAUUCUCACAUGAUCCCACUGCCCUCCAUGCCUCAUCAGCAGCAAUACUCGGCCCAACAGAUUCAAGCACAGAACUUCAUACCCACGCAUAAGCCCCAGUUGGACGCCAUGGGAUAUGAUCUCUCAGCUUUCUCUUCGGCCGCUUCAGAGUCAAUAGUAGUACCCAUGAUGCAGGUCAAGCAACUCAUGGCAAAUGCUAGGGACUGUGACAGCGGAGAAAGCGACCAGAAUAACAGCAGUCUUCGCACUUACCAGCAAGCAUGUGAAUCCGGUUUGGAGGUGGGAACCAAUUCUUGUGAACCUUCUCAGCAUCAAAGUAUGAUUACUACCGGAGACGAUCAGAAUCUGAACGAAUGGGGAAUGAUUGAUCCUCAACUUGGACAUGCGCAUGACUCCUCCAAAGGUGCAAGGUUUGAGGUUGGGGAACCUAAUAAUCCAUCUAAUUCCAUGAAUCACGUCAGUCAACUCUCACUGCGUGGUGAGAUGGAUUUUUGGGGUUACGGCAAGUAGUUUAAGCAUAUGGUGUACACUACCCAUUGAUUCAAGAUUUAGGUAAUUAAUCAGUCAGAAAUAGAAAGUAAUUUAUAUUAACCUGUGUAUCAGAGGUCCUUCGAACAAAUUCAUGAGGUGCAACCAUGUAAAAAACAUUGAACAGAAUCAUUAUUUCCAUUUAAUGUCACUGUGCUACUUUUCCUGUGCUUCUAGUAGCAUCUUCUUGUUGUGUGACGCUGUCAAACAGGAAGUCUCUUUUCCUUGAAAUAUAUAUAUAUAUAUAUAUAUAUAUAUAUGAAAGGUAACCCCGAUCUUAAAGUAAUUCUUGAUUAGGAAGAUAGAAAGGUUAUAAAUACCGUGACUUUGUAACUAUCAAAUAGAAAGUAAUUCCUAUCUUAAAGUAAUUCGGAAAAUAGAAAUGUUAUAUACACGUAACUAUGUAACUAUCGACUGGAAAGUAACCACGGUCUUAAGUAAUUCUUGAUUGAGCCUUAGAGAGCUCGGUCUAUUGCAUAUAAGCCAUGCGCAUUAUGACCAAUAAACAAUAAUGAGCUUAAUGACCAACAGGUCCAACACACGGAUAUGUUUGCAUAUUUUUAUAUUAUAGAUGUUAUUAGUAUUAACUUACCUUUAUUAAAGAAAGUUAUUAGGAUCUUAUCUUUAUUAAGAAAUUAAGUUAUUAAUAUUGAAGGACAAAUUACAUUUUACCCCAUGUGGUUCAGUGUUUCUGUAUAUAAUCUUCCUAUGGUUUCAAAAAGCUAUAUAUAAUAUUCUCAUGAUUUGAAUUAAAGUGUUAAAAUAACGAAAUUUACAAUCCAUAACAGAGUCACCUAAAAUAUAAAAAAUACACCUAUAUAAAGUUAAAAAUUAUUUAUUAACCACAGGGGGGUUAUGUGUAUAUUUUGAAAAUUAUAAGUGAGUUAUAUAGUAAAGCAUUAAAUCAUAAGGGGGUUAUAUGAUAAAAUAUAAAACCAUAUGGGGUUAAUGUGUUAUGUAUAUUAUAUUUAUAUAUUUUGGUCACUUCAGCAAUUUUAAUUUUUAAUUAAGAAUAAUUUCGACAUUUUUAAAGAUUCCAUUACGAAUGAUCAUUUCCAUCAUUUUGACACUUUAAUCCAAACUAUGAGGGGGUCAUGUAUAGUUCUUGAAACUAUAAGGGGUUAUGUACAAAAAAACACUAAACCAUAGUGGGGUGAAAUGUAAUUUGCCCAAUAUUGAAUGUCAUUUAUAGAAAGCGGAGGAUCUGAGCUGUUUAAAAUCUACAUGCUUACUGCUCUGGGAAAGAGAUGCCAUUAUGUCUACGUACAAAAGCUGGAAUAUGUCACAUUCACCAUGGAAACUUGGUAAAAACAGAAGCUUUUUUGAAUGUUUUGAGACAUGAGAAUUUACAUGACCAUCCCCAGUCAAUUAUUAAGAUCGGAGAUUCACUAAUGCAUCACGAGCAUUACGAAUCUGCACUAGACUACUAUAUGAUGUUGGUAGGAGAUGUAGUUAAGAACCAUGGCUGCCUGUAUCUGAAAAUUGCCAAGUGUUGCAAUUGUCUGGGGAAACGAUUGCAAUCAAUUGAUUACUUCUAUAAAGCUUUAGAUAAACUUGAGAAUAGUGUUGAUGCUUGCUUGGCUUUGUCAUUACUUCUUCUUGAAGAAAAUAAAGAUGAUGAAGCCAUUUCUGUUCUCUGUCCUGCUAAAGAAUCAGAGUCACAAUUUAACUUGAACCUAAAUGCAGCAAAACCAUGGUGGCUUAAUGGGAAGAUAAAGUUGAAGCUUUCUCAAAUCUAUAAAGCUAGAGGAUUGCUGGAGGCAUUUGUGAUGUAAUUUUUCCUGUAGUUCGUGAGACAUUGUUUCUUGAGACCAUACAACAAAAGGUCAGGCCAAGGAAGGAGCUAUCAAAAAGUGUUCUUUCUGAACGGAUAAAAAUACUUGAGCAUGUUAGGACUGAUACUGUGUUUCAUGGAUUUAGACCUGUCGCUUCAGCAUCAGAUCUGUCUAGAGCUUCCAGAGAAAAAAAGUUACUAAAAAAGAAGGAAUCUAAAAGAACUGCUGCUUUGGCCGCUGGAAUUGAGUGGAUAAGGGAUAAUUCAGAGGAUGAACCUGCUCAACAAGCGCCAAGAAAGCUUCCUCCUCCAAGCCUUCUAAGAGAUGCAGAGCAUCAUUUUCUCAUUAUAGAUUUAUGCACAGCACUGUCAUCCUUGAAAAAGUAUUGGGAAGUGAAGAAGCACGGAAUUUCCCCGGACCGAGCUGACCUGAUGAGCUCGGGGUGCUGAUGGAAGAGCUGGUUCCAAGCCUGCUAAACAAACAAGGGUGAGCUAACGGGGGGCCCUGAGGUUGUCCCCGAGGGCACUCCGACGGUCAAGUUAGUUCUCCGGUGAGCAGGGGAAGUACUAACAGUAAAGCAGUCGGGAGUGAAUUGCCAAUAGUCAGCGUACCUUGUACAGUAGGUAUGUGUUACCAUUUAUACCUGUUGAAGAGUCCGACCUCCGUACGUUCCGGGACUUGCCGCGGAUAGCUCCCAACCCCGCACUGAGGGGGAUUCUUCCCGCCCUCUGCGGGGUAGCUCUAGGGAGCCUCCCGGAGCCCUAGCCGCCGCGCACCCUGGGCUGGUUCCCCGUGGGCCCGGGGUGCAAGCCCAGCUCAGGUCGACCCUGGGCUGCCACGUGUACAGGCCCAGGAUGGGGCCUCUGCACUAGCCCCCUAGAUUAGGUCAGGCUCCCGGGCAGACCUGAUCUAUCGCUUAGCCACGUGGAAGCCCAUCAUCACACCGCUCUGCCGCGGUCACCCCCGGUGCAGUGCUGACAUUGGGAAGUGGCGUCCGCAUCCUUUCAAUUGUCGCGUCCCUUCGGUCUCCGUACCCCCAUUUAAUGCGUUCACAUGGGACGGUUCGAAUUCAAGUAACCGUUUUUCCCCCAUUUUGUUCCCUAUAAAUAGUGGCCGCCAAAUCCCAGUUAACUCUAUUUGCCAUUUUCUCCUUUUCUCGUGCAUUUCCAACUCCCAGUAGUGCAUUUCCGGCCAACAACACCCAGAUUCCGGCGAUCCCGCUUCAACUCCAAUACAUCCCUUGCCGCUAGUAAGUCCUUUCCCCUUUCCUUUCGCAUUUCCUUUUCUCCUCCUACCAUCCUUUGCAUUUUAUGUCGGGCCUCUCCGACGUCACUUCCACCGCCUCCCAGACUCCAGUCCGUCGUAGAGCCACCAGAAUCUUCAUCUCCUCUUCAUCUUCAUCUUCAUCGUCUCCCUCUCCUUCUCCUUCUUCAUCCUCUGCUUCCAACCCCAACUUUUCCAUUCCUGAUUUGUUUGAGCCCAUUGACAUCAUGAGUUCCCCAUCUACUCAUUCCCCUUCCGCCCGGCUCCUGGAGGAGGUGGCCGAGCUCGAUGCCCUCAUCGAGCAGCGAGCCACUUCUGUCCCCUCCCCCAAGUCUCCACACAACUCCCCCGGCGGAGCCCAUGAGGGAGCUGGGGAGGACAGGGACUCCUCAGAGGGGACCCCUGCCGCCGAGCAGGGGGAUGACCCUGAAUUUAACUACGGUCACCCCGACCGGGAGGAGACCACCCUCUCGCCCGGGGCGGUGGCCGAUCUGGCCGCGUCCUUCUCUAUUCCUUCGGCUUUCGAGCCCCGAGCUGCCGGGCCCACCGACCGGGCUUGCCGACCUCCCCCAGGCUUUGUAGCCAUCUACAAAGAGCAAUUGGUCGCGGGGCUUCGACUCCCCAUUCCUCCGGCCCUGGCCGAGAUCCUGAGCUACUGGGGGCUCAGGAUAACCCAGGUCCACCCCAACUCGAUCAGGAUAAUCGUCGGAUUCCUGAUCUACUGCCAGAUCUGCUCCAUCCCCUAUUCUCUCUCCCUCUUCCGUUCCAACUACGCCCUCAAGGCUUCUCUCCCUGGGUGGUACUACUUCUGCCGUCGCUCUACCAGCAAUCGCGGCGGGAAGGGCGCCCAGGAUCUACUGUAUGGGGUCCCUUCUUCCGUGAAAAACUGGAAGGGGGACUUCUUUUUUGUUAAAAACAUGCGAUUCCCCCGCCAUGCGUGGAAGGUUGGGGGGGUCGGGGACGACCCCCAUCCGGAGGACCUGGACCCUGAGGCCUUUGGCCAGAUGCUGGGUUCUGCGGUGAAGCUGUACGCAGCCAAGUUCUCCACUGAGCAGAUCUCCGGAGCCGGGCUGUUGGGGAAGCUAUCCGGGUCCCCCGGAGGGGUGGAGUUCUCCCCCGCCGACCAAGGCACCUGUAAUACUGCUCCUGGUCCCUUGUGAUCUGCUUCCUUGUUAUCUGUAUCCUUGCCUCCUAUAUUUCUCCGACUUGUAGCACUAAUCCGGUGCUGUUUUUUGCAGUGAAGAGGCUCUCCAGGCUACUGGGCGCGCCGACUGAGGAGGCAGCCUCCGCUGAUCAGCCUGAGGCGGCGAAGAAGGCCCCUGAGGCCUCGACGACCCCUGGGGACAGCUCGGCCCCCCAGAAGGAGGCCUCCCAGGCUCAGUCCCCCUCCAAGCCAGCCCCCGGAAAGAAGAAGGCAACGGGGCAGAAGAGGGGGCGAGAAGAUGAGCCUCCCCAGCCUGGGAAGAAAUCUGCGCAGGGCCCAGCCCAGCGCCCCCUCCUGCUGACGUCUGGGGGCCCUGUCCACCUGGGGGUAGGCUCCGCGGAGGAGCACGCUCAGGAGAGCGCCCCCCCGAGCUUGUGGCACUUCCGCCACGUGGCUCCCACAAAGCCGGGGCAAGCCCCCACAAUGCAUGAUCUCCGGCGCUUCUGCCCGUCCGGGGAGCUCUCCAUCAAUGACCGAGCCCAAUUCCCCGAGGUGGCUCGCGAGCUGGUCACGGGCUCACUCCUCCCACGUGACAAGAAGUGGAUGGAGCUGGCCAGCCCGUCCGAGCUCCAGGACAUGUACUACACCGCCCAGGCCCAAGUAAGCCCCCUCUCUUUUAGGCCCCUUAGGUCCCUGUUCUUUCUCUGAAUGGGGUUAGCAGUAUGCUAACCUUUACUCUUAAUUCUUCAGGCCAACGCCGCCGGUGCUGCCCUGGUAACCCGCUUCUCCGAGCUGUCUCCCGACCUGGAGAAGAUGCGGAAGAAGAACCAGGAGGCCGAGCAAAAACUGGCUAAGGCCCUUAAGGAGGUAGACUCCCUUAAGGCCAAGCUGGGCCAGGCUGAGAAGGGACUGGAGGACUCCCAGGUCCAGCUCGCCUCCACCCGGUCUGAGCUGGACCAGGAGAAGAAGGGCGUGGCGAAGUUGAGGGAGGAACACGCCUUUGAGCUCUCUGGCGCCCUCAGCUGGGAGCGCAAGAAGGCUGUCCGGGACUUCAUCCACUCCGACCAGUUCGCCGAUGACGUGGCCUGCCUCAACCAGCCCAUCUUCCAGAUGGGCGUCACGCGGACCCUGGACAAAGUGAAGGGCCUCAACCCACCCGGCUUCAACUUGACGGAUUUCAAGGACUACAAUCCUGCGGCCGAGGAGAAGCUGGAUUGGCUCUUCGAUGGGUACCGCAAGAGGCAUGCCCUGAGGGAUCUGGCGAGAAGGAGUGAUGUGGGGGCCGAGCUGGCGGAGCUCCCCCUGGAGGAGGAGGAGACUCAUGGCAGGGCUUCCGGGAAGGAGCCUGUGGCCUAAGGCCGGCCACUCCAGUUGAAAAUGCCCUUGAGGGUCCAUCCUCCUUUUUUGACAGCCUUCUCUACCAUCUUCCUUUUUAACAGCCUUCUCCACCCGACCUCCAACAUGCUUAAGGUGUACCCUCAGCUCCCACCUCAAGCAGGUCGCCAGCAAGAAGAAGACGUAGCUAGGUCCCCCUUUCCCUGUAUAACUCAGUGAGCGUUGUAAUAGAUAGGCUGGAAAUUUUGUAAUAGACAGGCUGAAAGUUUUGUAAUAGAUAGGCCUUAAAUGCAUAUACGAAAUUCGAAGGAGACCUUCUCGUAAUUCUCGCAUACGCCAAACUCUAGCAACUAAAACCAUGUGCCGACCUCCUGGGUCGAGCACUAUAUAUAUAUAUACCCCUUCUCAAUCUAACAGCCAAAUUGUCAAAGGCAAUCCAACUAUCAAAAUCAUGUGCCGACCUCCUGGGUCCAGCACCGAGUAUACUCAUCAAGGCGACGCGCCAGCCUAUUGGAACUGAGCACCAAACUUUCAGGAUAGUCCUGCCGACCUCCUGGGUCGAACGCCGAACUCCCGAGCUUUGAUGAACCCUCAAUAGUUCACUUGAACCUUUCAGGAUGGUACCGCCGACCUCCUGGGUCGAACGUCGAACUCCCGAAUUCCAACGAACACUCAGUAGUUCACUUGACGCCGACCUCUUGGGGCCGAGCGUCGGACUUGUGGCUUUCAACGCCUCAAGCCGUGUCGACCUCCUGGGCCGAACACUCCCACGUGCCGACCUCCUGGGUCGAACACUAUCGCAUAUUCCUCCCUAGCCCCCCACUAGGACAUUUAGUGAAGGAACGCUAAGUGUGCUAGUGUAAAAAACUCAAAAGACAGACAAGUACAAACCAAACUGAAACUCGAAAGUCGGGCCUUUAUCGAAUGAUAAAACUGAAAUUCCAAAGAAUCAGACAACUGAAAAUCCUGGUCUAACCUACGCUACAAACAGUCGCAGAUUGGAGAAGUGCCAAGUGCGGGGUACCUCGGAUCCAUCCAUCCAGAUUGGAGAGUUUGCAAUACCCAGCUCGAUUUGCCUUCGAGACCUUGUAUGGCCCUUCCCAAUUUGGAUCAAGCUUGUUGGAGGCAUGAGCUCGGCUGACCGAGUUCUUCCUCAGGACAAGGUCGCCCGGCUGGUACUGUACGGACCUAACCUUGGCGUUGUGAUAGCGGGAGAUCUGACUUUUGUACUUAGCCAUUCGUACCGCCGCCUCCUCACGCCUGGCCUCUAGUGUGUCUAAGUUGUACCUCAGCUCUUCCUCGUUGGUGGUUGCAACGAAGUUCUGUGUCCGGGGCGAGGGGAAACCAAUCUCCGCGGGCACUACAGCCUCCACCCCGUAAGUUAGAGAGAACGGGGUCUCGUGGGUGGCCACCCUGGGCGUGGUGCGGUAAGCCCAUAGGACGCUGGGUAGUUCGUUUAGCCAGUUAGACUGGGCUAACUCCAACCUGGUCUUUAACCCUUGCAGAAUUGUUCGGUUAACGUUUUCCACCUGCCCAUUGGCCUGGGGGUGUCCGACCGAGGUGAAAUGUUGGCUAAUCCCUAGCUCGGCGCACCAGCUUUUGAAGGGAUUUUCAGCAAACUGUCGUCCGUUGUCGGAUAUCAAGACAUGCGGGAUCCCGAAGCGGCAGACUAUGCUUUUCCAGAAGAACUUUUGAAUCGCUCUACCCGAGAUAGUGGCCAGGGGUUCGGCUUCCAUCCAUUUCGUGAACUAGUCGAUGGCCACCACUAGGUGCUCGUACCUGCCCGGAGCUCGGGGGAAAGGACCCAGGAGGUCUAUUCCCCAUUGGGCGAAGGGCCAAGGACUGUGGAUGGGGACCAUCUCCUGAGUGGGCUGGUGGCGCAGCGGGGCAUGCACCUGGCAAGCUCGGCACUUCUGAACCACCUCCGCGGCAUCUCGAAAGACCGAAGGCCAAUAGUAGCCCAGGAGAAGGCACUUUUUGGCCAGUACCCGGGAGCCGACAUGCGCCGCGCAUAAUCCUUCGUGGACUUCGAGGAGGACGUAAUCGCCCUCCUCUGGCGUCACGCACUUUAGCCAGUGGGAUAAGUAUAACCUCCUGUAGAGGGUUCCCCCGGCGUAGGCGUACUUGGCAGCUUUGAGCUGGAUCCGUCGAGCCUCGGUUUUGUUCUCGGGGAGGGCACCCGAGCUGAGGAAGUGUACAAGAGGGGUCAUCCAGGUGGCCGAGCUGUCUAUAGCCAGGACCUGAACCUGAUCAAUACUUUUCUGUUUCACAACUUCCACCAGGACUUCCUUGCUCAGGUGCGCAAACGAGCAGGAUGCCAGCUUUGACAGGGCGUCUGCGCGCUUGUUUUGCGAUCUAGGCACCCGCUCGAUUUCAAACGUAUGAAACAGGGCUGUCGCUUCCUGCACCUUGGCCAAGUACUUCUUCAUGAUUUCCUCCUUGGCCUCGUACUCCCCGCAAACUUGGAGGACGACGAGCUGAGAGUCACUCCGGACUUUGAUCGCGGUAAUGCCCAUUUGGUGGGCUAUCCGCAAUCCCGUCAGUAGGGCCUCAUACUCAGCCUCAUUGUUAGACGCGGGGAAGUCAAACCGCAGAGCAUAGGUCAGUUCUUCCCCCGUUGGCGAGAUGAGCAGUAGGCCAGCUCCGCUUCCCUCCUUGCUGGAGGCCCCGUCCACGAACAGCACCCACGGCUCCUUCGGCUGUGCACCCUCGCGCAGAGGGCUUAGCUCCGUUAAUGUCAAGCUGGCCCCCUCAGCAAGGAAGUCUGCCAGGACUUGGGCCUUAAUGGCUGUGCGGGGCCGGUAGCCGAUAUUGUGCUCGGCUAGCUCGACGGUCCACUUAGUCAUCCUGCCCGAGAUCUCGGGUUUUGUGAGUAUCUGCCGUAGAGGCUGGUCGGUCAUGACGACGACGCUGUGGGCCUGGAAAUAAGGUCGGAGUUUCCGGGCAGUGUGCACCAAAGCCAGGACCAGUUUUUCAGCCGGCGUGUACCGUGUCUCCGGCCCCUGUAGAGCUCGGCUAACAUAAUAUAUCGGCCUCUGGGCUCCCCUGUCCUCCCGCACCAGAACCGCGCUAACAGCCUCAUGGCAAGCGGACAAGUACAGGAACAAGGUUUCUCCCUGUUCCGGGGCGGUUAGGGUGGGCAGCUCGGCUAGAUAUGCCUUGAGGUCGGUGAAGGCCUUCUCGCACUCCUCGGUCCACUGAAAGUCUUUGGGUGCCUUAAGGAUUCGGAAGAAAAGGAGCCCCCUCACCGCGGACCGAGAGAGGAAUCUAUUCAGGGCGGCCAUCCUACCCGUGAGCCGCUGGACCUCUUUCACAUUCCGUGGGGGGGCCAUGUCCAUGAUGGCUUGGAGGUUUUCGGGGUUGGCCCGGAUCCCUUCUCGGGAGACCAAGAAACCGUGGAACCGGCCCGACCUAACUCCAAAAGUGCACUUCUUUGGGUUUAGCCGCAUCCGGCUCUCCCGCAGGAUGUUCAGGAUUUCCCUGAGGUUGGGGACGAGUUGGGGUCCUGCUCGGCUCUUGACGAUCAUGUCGUCCACGUAGACCUCCAUGUUCCUACCGAUCUGGUCCUGGAACAGUUUAUUGAUCAAUCGCUGGUAGGUAGCUCCAGCGUUCUUCAGCUCGAACAGCAUCGUCCGGUAGCAGUAGAUCCCUUCCUCGGUGAUGAAGGAGGUUUUUUCCCGAUCCUCCUCGGCCAUCUCUAUCUGGUGGUAUCCCUUAAAGGCAUCCACGAAACACAAAACAUCAAAACCAACAGUAGCAUCCACUAACCUGUCGAUCAUCGGCAAGGGGAAGCAGUCCUUUGGGCAAGCUUUAUUGAGAUCUGUGAAGUCGACACACAUCCUCCAGGACUGGUUCUCCUUUUUCACCAGAACAGGGUUGGCCAGCCAGGUCGAGUAGUAGACCUCCAUAAUGAUUUUGGACUCCAGCAGCUUUCCGACCUCCUUCCUGAUCACCCCAUUUCUUUCUGGGGCGAAAUUCCUCUUCUUCUGCUUCACGGGCUUGAAGUGAGGGUCUAUGUUGAGGUGGUGGACGGCCAGGUCGGUCGAAAUCCCUGGCAUAUCCUCUACCGUCCAGGCGAAAACCUGGGCGUACUCCCCUAGGAGGGACUUCAGGUCAUCCUUCUCAUUGGGUGGUAGCGACGCACCAAUGCGGAUUACCUGAUCAGACCUAUCCUCCUUCAAUGGGAACUCCUCGUUCUCGUCCGGAGUGCCCAGCUGCCGUUCCUCCUCGCCCGGGAUGUAAGGCUCCAAGCUGGUCGCCUGGGCGACCACCUUCUCGUGUCCCCGGAGCAUGGCCAGGUAGCAAGUUCGGGCCACUUCCGGAUCUCCAUGCACCUCGGCAAUUCCUUCCGGGGUGGGGAAUUUGACGCUGAGGUGGAGCGUCGAAGGAAUGGCCCGGAGGGCGCUCAAAGCGGGCCGACCUAGAAAUAUGUUGUACGGGGACGGCUGCUUGACCACCACAAAGUUGACAGGGAUGGUCCGGCAUCUGGGUGCCUGACCUACUGUGACCAUCAGGACGAUCAUCCCCUCCGGGUUGAUGGGUGGUCCCGUAAAACCCACCAGGGGUGUCCGAACCGGGGUCAGCUGUCCAUCCUCCAAACCGAGCUCCUUGAACACCCGAUAAAACAUAAUGUCGACCGCACUGCCUUGGUCGACGUAUACCUUCUUCACCCGAUAGUUGUUGGUCACCACAUCGAUGACUAUAGCCUCAUGGUUCCCAGAUGCUAGGGGAACCGCAUCUCUCGGCCCGAAGGUGAUCUUCUCGUCCAUACGCAGGCGUUUUAGGGAGUCGUCUCCCUCGGGAGGAGAUCGCUUGUUUUUCCGAGCUGUAUGGCUGUCUCCCCCCGUGGGACCGCCGGCAAUGGUGUUUAUCACACCAGCCAAGUUCUGGGCGUCCUGGUCGGGAGAAUAGCCCCGGGGUGCGCCACACCGAUCAGGUCGGUCACGGUGCUGGCCCUCGCCUCUCUCUCCACGGUAGGUGCGUCCCGGCUCCUGGCCGGGACGGCCUUGCCGCACAAAUCGACCCAGGAAGCCGCGCUGAACGAGGUCCUCGAUCUCCCUCUUUAGGGUCCAGCAACCCUCAGUAUCGUGCCCGACGUCCCUGUGGAAGGCACAGUACCGGUCCUGAUUCCUCUUAUUCCGAGGUGUGUCCAUUUUAGGCGGCCGGUCUCCCAGGCCCUCUGUCUCCAUGACAGCCAGGAUCUGCGCCCUUGGUCGAGUUAGGGGUGUGUACCCUUUUUCAGGGAGCGGCGGUUGAGCGGGGGCCCUGUUCUUGGAGAGGCGAUCGAAGACGUUCUUCCUGACUUGGCCGUCCUUGGUUUCAGGGGGGUUCGCUCGUCCUUUCCGGUCCCCGAACUCCCGAUCUGAUUCCCGUUUCAAGCGGCCGGCCUCCUCUGCGUUGGCAGCAGCGUGAGCCCGGUUCAGGAGCUCUCCCAGAUUCUUGGGGGGCUGCUCGACGAGCUUGUAGUAGAGCUCCUCUACCCUUAGCCCGUUCAUGAAGGCAGCCAUGACCACCUUCUCAUCUUUGUCCCUGAUCUGCAGACUUUCCGUGUUGAAGCGCGUCAUAAAAUUCUUCAGGGACUCAUCCGGCUUCUGCUUGACGGCCAUCAAGUGAGCCGCGUUUUUCGAGUAGGUCUUCGAGGAGACGAACUGGGCAGCGAACUGUCUGGCCAGCUCGGUGAAAUUCCGGAUAGACCCCGGCGUUAGGCCCUGGAACCAGAGCCGGGCCUUACCCUUCAGGAACAUGGGGAAGGCCUUGCAACGGAGUGCAUCCGCGGCGGUCUGCAGACGCAUGUGCGUCAUGAAGACCGAGAGGUGGUCUUCCGGGUCCGUCGAACCAUCGUACAGCUCGAUGUUCGGAAUUUUGAACCUCCGAGGUAACGGGUAGUCCUCUACCUCUCGGGUGAAGGGCGAGGCUGCGUAGUUAUCCUCAUACUGUUGUGGCCGCAGGAUCUGCUCGAUCUCGUCCCGGACGGGCUGCCACUGAGGAGGAUCCCGCGGCCGACUCUGGAUGGACCGGGCGGGGGAUCGCUCCGGUCCGUUCCUCGCGAGCUUCCACCAGGAGGGGUUCCUCAGGCGGCCCCCAGCGGACCGGUCACGAGAAUACCUCUCACUGUCCCCGACCACCGAGGCUCGCGGCUUAGGAGGAGUCCGCGGUCGUUUCCUCCUGGGGGGCUGGUCCCGUGACUCGUCCUCCGAGGGGAUGAGGAGCGAUUCCUUCUCCUUUCCCUUCGCCUUAGAGGUCUGCGCACCGCCAGCCUCACCCCCCUCCUUCGCCUGCCGGAUUAUGUCUUCCAGCAUGGGAAGGUUCUCGGUUACAAAUUGGUAUAUCUGCUGUUUCCGUUCCCCCGAAAGGGCCGAGCUCCCGGCGCCUCGGGCCGCCUCGGUCUCCAGCCGCCGGGAUCCCUCGCCGGCUCCGGGAUCAGUGUUAUCCACGGUUCGCUUGGAACGUGUUCUCGCCAUCAACACAAAUACUCGUAUUUUCGGUUCCCACAGACGGCGCCAACUGAAGAAGCACGGAACUUCCCCGGACCGAGCUGACCUGAUGAGCUCGGGGUGCUGAUGGAAGAGCUGGUUCCAAGCCUGCUAAACAAACAAGGGUGAGCUAACGGGGGGCCCUGAGGUUGUCCCCGAGGGCACUCCAACGGUCAAGUUAGUUCUCCGGUGAGCAGGGGAAGUACUAACAGUAAAGCAGUCGGGAGUGAAUUGCCAAUAGUCAGCGUACCUUGUACAGUAGGUAUGUGUUACCAUUUAUACCUGUUGAAAAGUCCGACAUCCGUACGUUCCGGGACUUGUCGCGGAUAGCUCCCAACCCCGCACUGAGGGGGAUUCUUCCCGCCCUCUGCGGGGUAGCUCUAGGGAGCCUCCCGGAGCUCUAGCCGCCGCGCACCCUGGGCUGGUUCCCCGUGGGCCCGGGGUGCAAGCCCAGCUUGGGUCGACCCUGGGCUGCCACGUGUACAGACCCAGGAUGGGGCCUCUGCAGGAAGCAUUGGAAAUCAUCAAUCUAACUCUGAAAUUGGCCUCCAAUGUUUUGUCUGUUGAAAGGAAGGAAGAGCUUGGAACUCUGGGAGCCCAAAUAGCAUACAAUAUUGCUCAUCUUGCUCAUGGCUUUGAAUAUGCACGCUAUUCUGCUUACAAAGUAAUCUCAAACUGGACAGCCGAUAUUCAAAGCUUAACAAGCUUUUGCACACCAUGCGAACCAAGCACAAAGGUUGUGUACCACUCACCCUCGUUUUUGGGCACCAGUUUACCAUGAUCAGCCAGCAUCAAGCAGCAGCUCGGGAAUAUUUGGAAGCUUACAAGCUGAUGCCAGAUGUUCCCUUGAUCAAUCUCUGUGUUGGAACUGCAUUGAUGAACUUGGCCUUGUGUCACUGACUUCAAAACAAACAUCAGUCAGUGGCACAAGGAUUGGCGUUUCUUUACUAUAAUUUAUGUCUUUGUAGAUAUAGUCAGGAAGCAGUGUAUAAUAUUGCUCGACCAUGUCAUCAUGUCGGUCUUGUUUCUCUUGCUGCUGUAAACUAUGAAAAGGUUCUUACAAUGCAUGAAACUGAUUACCCCAUGCUGAACCUUCCAGAUGAGAAACCAGAUGGUUUGGCUUAUCUAAAGCCAGUUUACCGUGAUCUUCAUCGGGAAGCAGCUUACAAUUUGCACCUGAUCUACAAGAAAAGUGGAGCAAUUGAUCUUGCUAGGCAAGUCUUGAAAGAUCAUUGUGUCAUAUGACUAAAUAGAGGUAAUUUCAGUUAGUUCUUGGCUAGUUUCUUCUUGGUACUAUUUGGUGAAUAUCACAUAAGAUGGGAGACAUUAAUAUUCCUCCAUUAUCAGGUAUGGACUCUUGAACUUCUUCCACUUGUCAUUGUUUAGCUUCGGUCGUAAUCUUGUAGGAAAGCAUUUUCCUCAGCCCUUGUGUGUGUACUUCUGUAAAAUAGAGAGGAAAUCAGUUCCUUUAAUAUUCAAUUAUGAUUAGAUCGUCAUCGCCAUAUAUUUGACAGGCUUUCUUGACAGAUAUUCCGUAAUUCAGUUAUUUAAUUCCUAAGCUGUCAUGUUAAAAUCUCUACAGCCUUAAUCUUACAAUUAAAUGUCUUGAGAUGUCCAUGCAUGUGCCUAAACAGCAUCUCGCUUCUCCGUGCACUCACAACAUAUACAACAGGAAUGUGGCUUUACGUUGUUCAAGCCCAGGAACGUGAGAUUUCACGUAGUUUAAACCCAGAAUUGUAGUUUCAUGUUGUUUUUCGUGGUGCAGAAGCUGGUAGUAAUUAUUGCUGUUUCGAUUAAAUGCUCGAUAAUGGAGGGGCAACAGACGAACGUUUCUCACAACAACAGACAAGGAGCAACAUAUAUUUAUUCAAGUCGUAGAUGAAAAUGGAUACAAAGCAAUGCGGUCUAAUUAAUCUGUCUUACAGAUUACCACAAUCAAAUUUGGCAUGUUCAUUUCGAUCUCGGAACAGAAUAACCAUUAUGAUGGCAGCAAUGAACUUUGUAAUUGACAUUGGCGGGCUCCCCAGGAUGAGACCAGUGAGGUAUGCUUGUGUUGCCAAUCGCACCAUCCGCAUUCUUCGCUCUUCUACAUAUUGAUCAAAAGCUUGCCCAAUUUUGUCAGUCAUGAUUUCUUUUCCUCUUUCAUAUGGACUGAGAGAAGCAAUCUUCCUUCCCAGAUUCCUUGCAAGAACCACUGCAUCUUCCAAGGCUGCGGAACCACCCUGUCCUAGGAAUGGUCCCAUGGCAUGCAUUGCGUCUCCAGCUACUGUAAUGGGUCCUCUUCGAAACCUUCCCACCAGCAUCUCCCACGGGGCAUGGUAUCUCAAGUGUGUGAUGGACAAUGAGUCUAGAUCACUUCCUUCUAUCAUCUCUACGGCAUCAGAUGGAAAGCCUUCUGUUAUUUUCGUGGUUAACUUUCUAAUGAGUUCUGGGUCAUCUGGAAAUUUUCUAUCUGCAGCAAAAUUUGAAGACCAUCAAGAAAUAGACAACCACUUCGACCUUAAAUUCUAUGCCAACAGCGUGAUGUUCAUCAUACGGUAGCACUAAAGCACACGAUGAUGGUGAGAGCAAGACUAAUUAAUCCUUCAUGUGCUUAUGAUAGCAAUACUGUUCCUUAACCAAUGGAACACUAACUCCAUCGAAUAUGGCAUGAAAGCCGAUUCAGGUCAGAGAUCCAGUUGAGGUUCCUGAAGUGCCCCUUUGCUUUGUCAAAAUAUUUUAGGAAAACCAAGAAAUGAGAGAGAGAAAAAAAGGGAAUCAAGGAGCAUUUUAUUACCUAACUUGUUACUCAAAGAACAAAAAAAUUACCUAACCAAGACAAUGGUACAGUAACAAACCAAUAGACCAAAUUAUUGUCAACAGGAAUUCGUCCCACCAUAACUCUGUCUCUCUUGAUCCGCACAAGCUCAGGAGAAAACACAUGACCGUUUGGAUAACUCGUUAAGCCUCUAACUGCACAAAGAGCAAAUAACCUUGUAGGCUUUAUGCCAAGGAAAUCCGCCACUACGGAAUUUGAUCCAUCACAUCCAAUAAGAACCUGCGAAGACAUAAUGAGCAUAAACAACUUGUAACUGACUCAUCCCCCUAGAUGCAGCUUUGGUGCGAAACACUGCUAUAGUCAAGCUUCUUCCUCUAAUUCGCAUUAAAAUGUGAACGCCUAAUUCUUAAACAUUUUUGGAAGCCAAACAUUCAAUUCCAAUUAAUGCUAGUACUUCCCAAAAUGUUCUAUUCAAGGAAGAUGAUACUACUAAUAACUUUUAACUAGGAUGAUACCAAAUUCAGGUAAUAAAAGAUACCUUGGCUCUAAUAGAGCUGCCAUUAUUGAGUGUGAGAGUUGGAAACAUAUUUUUAGGGUCCAUUGUUACAGCAACAACCUUGUAUCCAAAUCGUACAGUUUCAGGCGGUAAAGCAUCAGCAAGAGCCUUGAUGAGAUCACUCCUUUUCAAGCAACGAGCUUCACCACCCCUACAGAAACAGUUUAGCUCAUACAUGCACAUGUUUACGUAGGUACAAUCAAGUAGAAAAUCCUGUACAUGGCAUGGUAUGUAUUUGGCAUUGAAGUUUAGAGAAGAAAGAUUGACUUACGGAAAUGGUAUUGGCUGUUGCUGGUUUCCUUCGUCAACCCAUAUGUCCUGUCCUCUGUAUGUACAUGUCGGCAAAUAAAUCAGGUAAUCAAUUUUGGGAUCAAGUUGCAUAUAUUCUCUGGUUUGCCAAGAAAUACAGAAGCAGAGAUGUAAAAGACAGAACUUGCCUACCUAUGGAACCUUUUAAAAAAAAAAAAAAAAAAAUUUGUUUGUGUAUAAGUUUUUAUUGAUCAGUACACACGUCAAACAAUUAAAAGCAAAUGAUUAUUUUUUAGAACCCAGAACCCAUCAAAGUUGCAAAUAGCCAUGAAAGAUCAAGAAAAAAAAAGAACAAAGAAAAAGCAACUAUCUGCAAGCUCUAUAAAAAAUUAUUCAAGUUCUCCUGUGUUUUCUGAACCUUCUUCCAAAUUGCGAUUAAGGUUCAAUUUCUUUGAGAACUUGACCAUGUACAGAUGACUCAGAGUGGAACCGAAGAUGCUGAAUUUUGAGUGAUGGUGCAAAUUUGCUUUUGCUACAUAAGACCCUAUUUGAUACUCCAAUUCAGCAUUUAAAUUCAGGUCUUAACAUGUCAAAAUUUGAAAUUUUGAAUCAAUUAAAUGGCACCGAAUUUUCUAGUUAAAACUUGAUUCCAUAAAUAAACUAUGUGAUAUAAACUCAAAUAAUGCACACUAAGUUCCUUAAUGUGAUUAUCACUCAAGUUCCUUUGAUUUGCAAUCAUACUCGCUACUUGUAAGGAAAGAGAGAGAGUUGGGGACGGGCUAUAAGCUUUUAUCCUGAAUUUUUCCUAUGUAGCAGCAUAGCAUAACAGAGAAUUAAAUGAAACUACCAUUCAACAAGCGGUAUAUAGAAGCAAAUUACUCCCAAAAAAAAAAAACUUAGAUAGAUAGACAGAGCUUGGGAAUAGAAAGACGGAUAGAUAAUAGGAUAAGCACCCUUGAACAAGAAUAGCCUUGUCUCUGAGCACAUCUCCAACACCAAGCUGAUCAAGUGCCCGCCACCCAUUACGGAAGACGCCUAUAGCUGAACCCUCUGCUCGCAGACUCUCUGAUCUUUCAUAAACUACACUUCUGAGUCCUUUCCUGCAAAUGAUUGGUUAAUUAAUCAGCCAAUACUUAUCACGCACUACAAUUCUUGCCUCUGCAACUAAUUCAUAUACACAAAACCAACAGCGAAUGAAAGAGAAGAAGGACCUGUGAAGAGCAAGGGCCGUUGCAAGUCCGCCAAUACCCCCGCCAACUAUCACAACCUCGUGCUCUUCUUCUUCUCUGACUGCAUCCAUUUUUCUCUCUCCCUCUUUCUCUCUUAUAGUAUGACUUUUCUGAUGAUGGCUUCUUUUUAAUGCUAUAUAUGCAAAGUUGGUUAGGUGAUACUACUGUAGCAUUUACAAGUCCAGAGCAGGAACCCCGCAGUGUAGACCCCAUACCCAAUCCUAAGCUGUCUGGUUUCCACUUCGUGCAAGCACCCUCCUCAAUUUGUUCCAGACACGACAUUCGAGGUACUUAGAAUAAAAAUUACUAGAUCUCACUCAUAGAGGAUUAUUGAGUAAUACGGGUUUAUGUUUGUCUUUCUCCUCUUUUUAUUAUUAUUAUUCUUUUUUAUCCUCCCAUCUUUCCGGCUGUCCUUUUCACCGCCAACUGCGACACACAUAGGAUUUGAAUUCUAAAACCUCUAAGAACUGUCUAUGGAUUAUCAGUUGUCAUAAGUCCAACUCCAUUGAUUAGUCUUUCUCUUAUUGCAUGUUGCCAUCCUCUCAAAAUAUAGAGCAUAAACUGUCUAUGGAUUUUUUUUUUUUUGGUAAGAAACUGUCUAUGGAUUAUUACUACCUGAAGAAGUUUACUGACUAAAUGGGUAACGUUUCAAGUUUCAACUCUAGAACGGCUUCUCUCUAGAUGUUUACCCACAAAAAUAUAAUUCCUGACGUUUCAAAUUUGGACUUAGAUUCGUGCAUACAACGUGAGUCAUCCGGCUGACUUUGCGGAUCAGCUUCGAUGUUUAUCCAAAAAAAUAUAAAAAUAAAUCUUAUAUAUACGGACAGUGUAUACACUAUAUUCAUGAUAUAUAUAUAAAUUAAAUUUUAAAUUUACAUAAUUAUUAUUCAUCUAAGACUUUAUACUGUCAAAAUUGGAAAAGAUUAAUUUAAAAUAUAAUUCGCAUUACUUUUUCAAAAUUGGAAUUGAUUUCGUGCAUACAACAUGAGUCAUACGGCAAACUGUGGAUAUUAUAUUGAUACUUAUGAUAUAUCGUUAUCAUGAUCAAAAAGUACAAUGAGUCUUGGUUAGGGUGCAAACAAGUAAAGUUUAAUUGAGUAACUCACGAGUUUAUUCGAUCAAGACUCAAUCUCGAACUCAUAAACUCGAGUUGAACCUGGUUGAACUAGUUGACGAGUCAAUAUCAAACUUCAUAUGUAAAGUUGGAAAGCAUGCGUAUGCACGCGCACAUACACGCGUAUAUAUAGCUCACAAGUUUUUACUUGGUCAAAACUCAAUCUGGAACUUGCAAACUCGAAUUCAAGUAGGUCGAACUAGUUGACUAGUCAAGGUCGAGUUUAUAUAUGUAAAGUUCGAAAGAGCGAGCGCGCACACAUACACACACACAUACAUAUAUAUAUUAAUUACUAAUUUUAUAUUUAUUAGUAUGAAAUGUCCAUGUUGUCCCUUAUUUAAAAUUAUAUAAAAUAUAAACUCGAUCAAUUAAAUUCGAAAUAAGUUCAAUUAGCCUCAAUGAGCAAGAGUUCGAACUCAAACUAAAGUAUUGCAAAAUAAAAUUGAGUUCGAACUUGAGUUCGACUUACAAGAGUUCGAUAAGUUCGAACUCGAGAUCGAAUCCAAGUUUUUUAACUCGAGUUAAGGUCCAAUACUGCACUACUCGAGCACAACUUGACUUGAUUACACUCCUAGUCUUGGCAAUAGGAAGUAUAAGAGUGUAAGCAUAUUUUAAUCUUAGUUUUUGUUAUGCCAAAAUUACCCUCAUCUCUUUUAACUAGAGUUAUUGCAUGCCUUUUAAUUAGAGUUAUUGCAUUUUAAUCAUGACACUAAUAAGAAAAAUGAAAAGUUAUAAUGAAUUACAUCUAAAAAAUUUUGGUAUUUAAUAUUAAAAACUGUCCAUUUAUAACUAAUAUUCACCAAUCAUUUCCCUCAUCUCCAAUUCAUUAUUUUAUGUGUUAAAAUUAUCUCCAAUUAUUAUAUUGUUAUGCAUGAUAAUUAAACUUAACUAUAUUAUAUAUAUAUAUAUAUAUUGGUUUAGAAGAAAAUCAUGAUUAAUAAGAAGACAAAAGGUUAUAAACAGUUAAUGAGAAAACAAAAGGUUAUAUUACUUAUUAAAUUCAUUAUAUAAUGUCAUAUCAAUUAAUAAAACUCCAAAAAAAUUAUCAAUAAUUAAAAAAAUAUAACAAAAAAAGUUUACAACUAUUGAAAUUGAUAAAAAUUUGUUUGUUUUUGCUUAUUAUAGGUUUCUUAGUCAAUAUUAUACCAAUAGCUUAGUUUAAUUAUCAUGAUCUUCCAUCUUUAGAGUUUUUUAUAACUGUAAAAUACACAAUAAACAAGAAACUGUUUGGUAUUACAGAAAAAACUGAUCGUUUUUAGCCAGAGAGCAUUUUAAGGUAAGCAUCCCAUAAGCAUUGUCGUAGACCAAGGAGCAAGGAUUGCACGCCGUAUAAACUGAAAAAUGGUUUCCAAUUACAGGGUUCGAAAAUGGCUGACUGCCUUGUAAUGUCCCAUCAAAUUGUACAUUUCAUAGAUUUUCUGUUCGCGGACGAUUAGAACGACAAAUCAAAAGAAGGAAUUACAGGGUCGGAGCUCUUUCAGCAGUUCCGGCUAUGACAGUGAGCAAAUUAUUACCGAAGGGAUCGCUUAAAUGAGCUGCAAGGUUUUCAACGGGACCCUGUCCAGUGACAUAAGCUUGGAUGAAGAAACCAAGCAUUGCAAACAUGGCCAGUCUACCGUUCUUGAUCUCUUUCACCUUUAGGAGGGCAAACUGGUCAGGGUCCUUGGCAAGUCCCAAUGGAUCGAAAGGACCCCCUGGGUGAAGCUUGUCCUCUAGAUCCUGUAUGUAACACACUCGCACAAGUCAAUCUCCAAGUUCUCAUAGUGAUGGUGUAUGGAUAAGAAACAGUUGUAGUAUUAACAACUCAAAAUCUGAGCGUUAUCAAACUCAGCGAGCAUACCAGUGCAUUGGUUAUUCUGUAGUACUCAGCACCACCGACAAGAACAACCUCAAAAAUGACAGCAAAUGCAAGAUUAAUGGGAAUGUUCUUUCCAAAGUAAUUCAAUGUGUUGCCGUCGAGGAGUAGAGCCCCAGUCUGCACAAGUUGCGUGUUAACUAUUAACGCGAUAAGGAAAAAGAUAAAACGAGGUGCAAUGCUGUCAUACGAUCUGGAAGGCUUGCAGCAAGGAAAUGAAGUAACUACUACUACUUGCGUACCUUGAACCAAACAGCUUCAGGGCCGCAAUUGGCCCCAAAUUUGUUUAAGGCUUCAGGGAUAACAAAGCCAGCAGCACCAAGCAUGGCCCAGCGGCCGUGAAUAAGCUCAUAUGCUUGAUAUCUGCAUUACAAGAAUCCCAAAAUGGCCCCCGAAUGAAUAGUGUUCGUUAAAGUAGUAGUUUGACAAUAUGGUAUCCUCCUGAGUCAACAUGUACACCCGCAAAAAGGAAAUUCCAAAGUGAUGGAUGUGCGUACGAGUGCAAGCACAUACUUGAGAGUGCUAUCGAGGGUUACUUUACUUACUUGGCAAAGUUUUCUGGCUUCUUGCUGAGGCCAAAAGGAUCAUAUCCGUAACUGCAUAUUGACCAAAUCAGAUAUUGUCAGAACCGUGACUGCCGUUGCAAAUUCUCAGAAAAGGGGACAUGUAUAGACACAGAUUCAGGGUUAGUAAAAUGCGAGGCAGCAUACGCAAAAAACAACUCACUCUCCAGGAACUUCUCCUGUCAAGUACUCGGGGAUUUCUGAUCUGUCUAAGAGCCCCUCGGGCAGGAAAAUUCUUCUGUCAGGUCCUGAAAUAUUUGAGCAUCAAAGGAAGUGUUAAUUCAGGCAACCGUGCGUGCAUUAGUAUUUACAAGCAAAAGAUUGACACUUUGAUGGUGCAAAUUACUAGUUGCUAGCGAGUUAUGGAUUCCAAUUUCCAUGAUUUAUGAUCAGAUCAGUGAAUAUAACCAACUAACUGAAGGAGGGAACUAAUAAAGUGAAUUUGACAACUCACCAUACCACUUGGCGAGCUCGUCGUCCAAUGAAGAGUCGGCCGCAGGCUUGGGCUUUGCAGCAGCUUUCUUCUUCGAGAAAAGGGCAACAGUCUUGAAACUGGCGGUGUUAGAAGGAGAAGGAGCGCACCUUGAAGAGCUGGUGAAGUUCAGAGGGUUUCCGAGCAUUUCAGAGACGCCCAGAGAGGCAGCAGCAGUGGAGGCUGCAAGAGAAGCCAUUUGACCGUGCCCUGAGAUUUGAUACCCCGUCCAGAUACUGAUAUGAUGACGAGAAAUGGGGACUAUGGGAGGGAGAAGUUGAUGCACGGAUACUCCCAACUAAAAGCUUAUUCUGGUGGAUGUGGGCUUGCCAACUGGGAUUGCCGUUGCUUGUGAUCUCUGAUUGGUCUGCGUGAGAAGGGAAAGAUGCUGCAAUCUGAUACAACAUUUGGAUAGGCUGAACUUGGCCACGUGGCUGAUCAUGCUGCUGAUGUGGAGCAGUCAUGCUCAACCGCAUUGAGGAUGCCUUACCUUGGAUAACGUCCGUUAUCCAAUUACCAUCCCUUCAUUUUAUUUUAUUUCACUCCUUUUCCUUUUCUUUUCCAAUACUAGUUUCUGUUUUAAUUGGCUCUCUCCAUUCCAUUCUGCUGUUGAAGAGUUACCUUUGCAUAGAUUGGACCAAAAAAGAAGGUUGAUAAAAAUGUUGCAAACACAGUAACUAUCGUUAAUCUAAAAUUUUUAAAGUUACAAGCCAAAUCGUGAUUCUAUCUCAUUAUCCUUAUUUAUUAAGUGAAAAUUACGAAUCUUUUAAAUCCCAAGUGAACAACGACUAAAAAAAUUCAUAGAUUGUCUUGUAAUUUUCAUAAUAAUUACAAUGUAUAGAGUUUUAUAUAUGUAUUGUAACUUUUAAAAUUACAAUGGUUGUGAUGCUACUAGGUGUUUGUUUAGUCCGGUUACAGUCAAACUCUACCACUUAAUCAUCAGAAAAUGGUGUUGCUUCUCGUUACUUUCCAGAAUUCAAUUUCCAAUUUGUCCGCCAGAGCUAGAGUGCACUCCAGCGCCUAUAUUUCUCAAAAUUUUCUUCGCAGCACUAAAACUUAGCAAUCGCAUGGGCUUGUUAGAGUAUUAUUUGCUAAGAUCUACUCUGGGUAAACUGAAGCACCAGGAACAACUGAGUUUUAGUUCAGUGGCAACCAAAAAGGAAUUAAGGCCUCUUUGACUAUAGAUCAAGGGUUCAAACUCCACUUCAAAUGAGGUGUCAAAACACCCAUUUGAUUUAAUCGGAUCUGUAUAGGUUAUAAAAAUGUUAUCGUAACCAACAAAAAAAAAAAAAAAACACACACACACACACACUAACUACAUUUUCUGUUGUAACAACCAUACCAUAUUCAAAGCAGAAACACAGAAGGAAAAACUGAACCUGCAGAACCCUUGAAAGAAAGAAUCUCAAUUCAAGUCUCACUAGGACAUUGCAGUAGCAUGUCAAGCUACUGAUUCAAUAUUUACAAGAAAGCUACUUCAAUAUAAUAAUAAUCACUACAAUUAUUAUAUUAACAUAGAAAGGUUGCUCCCAAUCUCUCACUUGAGGCUUUCUUUAUUGCACUAUGAGGCUUUCAGCAUAAUUGUUGAGGUCAAAGACUGUAUAGAGACUCUUUUUGCAACCUAUUCCCUUGUAUACCUAUUCUUCCAUUUUUGAGUUUCACAUGCUACCAGCAAAUGAUUUACAACCCAAUCUCCUCCACACGUUCAGAUCAUUCACAAAAGAGCAAAGUCUAAAACCAAGAACCAAGAGCAGCGAGUUUGUGCAAACUUAUUGUCGUCUCCAUUUAUCCACCUCUGUGGAAGUAGCUUUGACUAGCUUUU
rnacentral:lncRNA from 1 species